rnacentral:lncRNA from 1 species
UUCCAUCGGGCUUUCUCCUCCUCAUCAACCUUCUUCUACUACUAGUUGUUCCUAGCUAGCUGGUUGAGUGAGCUUGCUUUCGGGAGCAAGAAACGCAUGGCGGUGUCCUCGGUGCUGGCGAUCCUGCUCGACGCCUCGUGUGCCCUUGCGUCGGCGACCUUCGACAAGGAGUUCGACAUCACCUGGGGUGACGGCCGAGGGAAGAUCAUGAACAAUGGCCAGCUCCUCACGCUGGGGCUGGACAAGGUCUCCGGCUCCGGAUUCCAGUCCAAGCACGAGUACCUCUACGGCAAGAUCGACAUGCAGCUCAAGCUCGUCCCCGGCAACUCCGCCGGCACCGUCACCGCAUACUACGUAAUUAAGCCGACAUCAUCUGCUUCUUGGUUUGCUUAGUUCGUGUGCGUGCCUAACAAAAAUCGAUUGGUUUGGUGUGUGUGAAUGUGCAGCUGUCGUCGCAGGGGCCGACGCACGACGAGAUCGACUUUGAGUUCCUGGGCAAUGUCACCGGCGAGCCGUACACUCUGCACACCAACGUGUUCACGCAGGGGCAGGGGCAGCGGGAGCAGCAGUUCCGCCUCUGGUUCGAUCCCACCAACGACUUCCACACCUACUCCAUCCUCUGGAACCCAAAGCACAUCAUGUGAGUUUGUUGAACGCCGUUUUUUCUUUCAAGAACAAUGCAGGAGCGGAUGGACUGACCGAUUUGCCGUACUUAAAUGCAGCUUCAUGGUGGACGACAUGCCGAUCAGGGACUUCAGGAACCUGGAGGGAAAGGGGAUCGCCUUCCCCAAGAACCAGCCGAUGCGCCUCUACUCCAGCCUCUGGAACGCCGACGACUGGGCCACGCAAGGAGGCCGCGUCAAGACGGACUGGUCCCACGCGCCGUUCUCUGCCUCCUACCGCGGCUUCAAGGCCGACGCGUGCGUGGUGACCGCGGCCGGCCGGCCGCGCUGCGGCGCCAGCGUGGGCACGGAGGUCGCCCCCGGCACGGGCGCGGCGGGCGAGUGGUACAACCAGGAGCUCGACCUGACGCGGCAGCAGCGGAUGCGGUGGGUGCAGAGCAACUACAUGAUCUACAACUACUGCACCGACCCCAAGCGCUUCGCCCAGGGCGUUCCCGCCGAGUGCUCCAUGUAGUCCAUGCCUGUCGAUCGCCGGAGAAAGACGGCCGGAGAUAGGGAAGAUGGGGUGUCUGUAUAAUCCGAUAUCAAUAAGGAUUGGUGACUGGGAGAUGUGUAAAGUAGCCGGUGGUAGAUUCUUCUUUGGCAUUUACGCCCAGUUCUUCUAAUCGUGAUCACGAUCAUUUCGUGUGUAAUCUAUUGCCUCGUCGUACAUACGUUCAUCACCUGUAUGCUGCUCUCGGCUCUAAUUUGGAACAGCGUCAUAUUUGUCCUUACAUCCUUACGUACGUGCGAAAUAAUACGGCCCUAUUUUCGUUCACGAUCGGGGUGAUUGUCCGAUGAAAAGACCUACCCACGAAUGGAUUGGCACAAGCAAAAUCAUUUUAUUCUGCUUCGUCCAUUGGGUACGCCGCACGGUACGUGUAAGGUGAAGGGAGCUCGGUCAGUGCAGGGGAUGGGCGCACGGCAACUGACCGCAAGGCGACACGAAGCGCGACAGAGGAAAGGACAAUGGCCUCCCUUCGUAAUGAUCCCAGCCAGCUGCAGCUGCGAACCCUACGUACGUCGUCUGCACUGCCACACUGGCCGAUGGUGAAAUGCGUGUACGUUCGAAAUUGAUCAGGUUGCAGUCUUGCAGCUCUGUGAAAAAUCACGAAACUGGCCCUUUGGCCAAAGUUCAGCACAAAAUGGAUCCUUUGUUAAAAAAAAAUCAUGGAAUGGCCCUACCAGCAUGACGCCCGCGCCUGGGGCGCCAUGCUAGAUACCAUAACACUCUGGUCAAAGGCGCCAUCCGCGUCGGCGCUAACUGCCACCUCGGCCUGGACUUGGGCCCAUGACGCCUCGGCCCAGGGUGCCAUGGUCUGUACCACGACGCCCCGGCCUGGGGCGCCAUACCCCUUCACCAUAUUGCUGCCCGAGCCCUCUGCUCUCUGCUUCGUUCUUUCCCCUUCUUUGUUUCUUGCCCCUGCCAUGGCGCCCCUCAAUUUGCCCCUCCCUCUCCCCACUCAAGUGUUGUGGAUCUGAGACGAAAAUAUGUGGAUCCGGUUGUCCUUCGAAUCCCGAAGGUAUUCUCCUCCUUUCCCCCUCUUUCUAUUGGUUGAAAUCUCCGCAUUUGAUUGAUCUGGGUGAAACCCUAGUUCGUCUUUUUCUUGAAAUUAUCAUUGGAUUUUGGUGUGAUAAUGUUAGGGAUUAGUGUGAUUUAGGAUAUGUAUGAUUUAGGAUUUUUAUUGAAGUGGUAUGAAUUUGAUUAGGAUAUGUACGCACAUAUAUGUUGUAGGGAAGAAUUAGUGUAAAAUUAGGAAGGCGGAUGGAUGGAUAUCUGCAAAUAUAUGGUGUAUGAUGUUGUAGAAAAUUAUAUGCACAUCUAUGGUGUAUGGUGUUGUAGAAAAUUAUAUGCACAUAUAUGGUGUAUGGUGUUGUAGCAAAUUAUAUGCACAUAUAUGGUGUAUGAAAGAAUUAGUGUACAAAUUUUUCACAUGCACGUAUGUUUUUGCACUAGUGCGGAUAUUUGCAAAUGACAAUGGGGCUUACCAUAUAUCUUUGUAAUUUGUAAUAUGCUUCCCAAUGAAACUCGGAGUCAAGAGGCAUUAUCUACCCAACAUUAUACCUUCCAAUUAAGUCUACUCCAUCGCUUUCUUUCAUCCAAUUCAACCUUCUUCGAAGUAACCUCCUCAAGGCUAGGACUUGUGGGAAACACCAUCACUACCGGCUUCUUCUUCGGGUCACCAUACUCCGCGUCUCCCUUCUCAAAGGAGACAAAGUCCAUAGACAUGAAGUGUGCAAGGAGUACGACUUAUCAAUUCUUGAAUUUGCUAUACAUGUGAAGUUCAUAGAUAUGAUGGUUCUAUGUUUCGUAUGCACUCGCACACGCAUGACUAGUUUACUUUACGUGAUUUGGGGAACACUAGUUUCAUGAAGUUAGGCUAGAUGAACUUAAUUAGAAAAUACUAAUUAUUUCAACAAGUCAUUAGUUCUAAUACCGUACAGAAUUUCACGCAUCGAUUGACCAAUUUACCCAAAAGCAGGCAAUGUGUAUUGGAGAAGCGGAGCACCAAUUUUGCAAGAAUGAAUAACAAUUAAACUACACUGCUCUAGUAUUGUUCCUCUUUUUUUCUAGGAAACUCUAUUAUUGUUCCCUAGUACACUUGCACACUUGCAUGUCAUGGUUGUUCCCCUCGAGGCUCAAAAAGAUCCAUAAUCAGUGGUCCUGUAUUUUGUGCAGCACAAGUUGGUUUGCUCAAACCGUGAAGGAAAAAAAACAUCAUGAUUGUUGUCACCAACUCAUGCAAGAUCUUCCACAGCUGUUGACCAUAGUUUCUUAACUACCCUGUGAUUGCAAAUGGUCAUAAUUAAAAGUAAGAGUGGGGGUGGGGGGAGCAGAGCAGCUGUACUACGUAAGUUUCAUGGUAACUGGAGACCGCUAUACUGAGAGAGUACGUGGCACGGCUGGCUUGGGUUAUAGCAGCACGGUUUGGACUGAUGAAUGAGUAUUGAGUAGCCGGUUCCACUUCCAGCUUGUGCAGAUCUUUGACACUACGGGCACGGCGGAGGAAGGUGGUUGUGCCCAUAUAAAUUGGGCGCUGGUACAAUCAUACGGCUGCGGAUGAUUAACAGCAAUUACGGCUGCUGAUGAUGAUUAACACGGUGCAAGGCCCACGAAUGAAUGAACGUCGCCAUUGUGCACACACCCGUUAAUGCAUCGCAUUGCAUCGCCCCGGCCGGAGCCGGAUGCGCUCACUUAGGGCGAGCUUUUGUUGCCCGCAUCGAGCCUAACCAGGCCAGCGCGGUACAGCAUCUUUUCGGACCUCGGUUGUUUGGUUCCUCACAUACACUGUUGAGUCUGCAUAUAGCACGGUUCUUAAAGUACCCCUGGGCCUGGCCCGUUGGGAACGGCCGAAUCGGCAGUUUUCCGAGAGUCAGGCCCGAGCGAUGCUUCGAGGCGCACGUGGGUGGCUCUCUGAAGACGUGUGUCUCGAGUUAAUCCCUCUCUCUCUCCCUAAUCCUCAACCCCCUCUUCUCCCUCUACUCUAGUGCGAUCCCGUCGAUCCCGUCCGUCGGCGUCCGCGGCGACGGCGACGAUAGGUCCUCCAGGUCGAACGACCUUCCCGCUCCCGCCACCGCGGACGGCGUGGGGGUGGGGCUCACCGACGUGGCCACCAGCAGGCUUUGCAGCUCCUUGACGCUGUCGCGCGCCGCGGCCUCGCUCACCCGGAGGCACUCCAGCUCCUCCUUGUUGCACUUGACGGUGGUGUCCUUGCUCCCGACCAUCUCCUUGAGCAUGGCGUUCUCGCUCCUCGCCUCCUCCAGCGCCUCCUUGUCGAACUUGGUGUCCUUGACGGCCUGCUUCAGCUUGGCCACCUCGUGCCGCCCGGACCGCUGCGACUCGAGGAGCCGCGCGUUCUCGCGCCGGGACGCGGCGAGCUCCGCCUCCGACGACUUCAUGCACGCCGUGAACCCGACCUCCUUGCCCCGGAACGCGGCGAACGCCUCCUCGGCGUCGGAGCGGAGGCGGGCCACAUCGUCGGAUAGCGCGCGGACCUUGUCGUCCUUGAGCUUCAGGGACACGUGCAGCCGGUCCGACUCCAGCCUCGCCGUCUCCGACUCGUGCUGCGCGUGCGCCAGCUGCUGCCGCGUGGUGUGCAGCUCCGCGUUCACCUCCUUGAGCGCCAGCACCAACUUCUCCAUGGCCCGCUUGUUCUUCUCCUCAGCGGCCAGCGCCACCCGCAGCUCGCCGCUGACCCGCUGCAGGUCACGGUCGAAGCGGCCCCUUGGCUUGGCGGCGGCGACGACGACGACGCUGGCCUCGAGCCGCUGCACCGUGUCCCGCAGCGACGCGACGUCGAUCCGGGCCUCCUCCAUCGCCACGGUAGUGAGUUGGGCGCGUCCACGGCCGCCGGGAGCUGGUGGUGGGCACGAUGGGCAGUGGAAGCUCCGGCGCACUCAAAGUGUUUGACAAAUGUCAAGCCCAACCUGAUAACUGUUAUUUUUUGUUGUUAACGCUGGUAAUCAUAUGCAUGUAUGCAACCAAACGCCGGGUGAAAAUUGCAUCUCGAUGACAAGACUCCCAAUGCAGGCAACCAAUCAACUGGUCAUCUACGUUUUUGACCCUGUUUUUAUUUACUAAGGCCCUGCUCAGCCUGGCUCGUUUUUUUCCUCUAAACCAGGCCCGGCAGCGAAAAAAACCAAACACGCCCUUAAGGCGUGAGGCGGAGCGCAUCCCAUGCGCCCGGCAGGGGUCUAGUCUAGAUCGGAGAUCAAAAGUCCCCAACGCCAGGCUUGUUUAAUGGCGAGUGAGGAAGCAGUCGUACGCGUUGCCUUUCUACCCCACUUGAAUUCGCUACACCGGCCCGCCCGAUCGAUCUACUCCAAUCCAUGCUCCAAGUCGCCAUUGGCCUCUAGCCCUCUAGGCUCUAGCUAGUAGCCACCGUCUCUCUAGAUCUCCCUGUGCUGUGCCGAUCGAGCUAGCUGGCGCACGUACGACCGAAUAAAUUGAUCUGCACCCCAUCCUCUUCAUGGAGAGCUACUAGGGAGACUUGUACGAGAUCUCACACUGAGGUGAGAUCCUUAGAUCGGCCAAGAAAAAAUCAUAUUUAAAUAUUUUGAAAAAAAUCUGAAAUUACUUGACAACGUCCGUGUGGGUUAUGUCUACAACUCCAUAAAAAAAGCUCAAAACUCUAUGUACAUUUAGAGAUUCAAAAAAGACAAAUUCGAAUGUGAAUAGCAGCCUUGUCUGAAUGGUACUUUGAUACUAUUCACAUCCGAUUUUCUCUUUUUAGUUUCUAUUUAUGUAAGUUGAAAUAGGAGCUGGAUUUUUUUUGAGAUUGUGCAUCAAACAUUGAUGUGUGUCUAUAAGCCUUUUGAGAUUGUAUGAACAUGUACUUUAAAAAACAAAGAAUCGAUCUCAUAGAUCUCACCCAAUGUGAGAUCACAUACAAGUCUCCCCCGCUAUAUCUUGGCCUCACACGGCAGGCAUGUUGUGGAGUAGGCUGUACUGUAGUAACGCCAAGGAACGGGAGGGGAGUUUUGCAUGUUCGACAAGGGUCUGGAUUUUCUAAAUGUUCUUGCUCUGUGUAGGCGCCGUUGUGAUCUAGAGGACAAUACGGCGUCUCCCACACAUCCCGCCGGUACCGAAAUUUGUUCCAUGUCUGGUUUUGCACGGACAAGAAGAUAUGAAUAGAUGACCCGCGUACAAACGUGCGAGCGUCGGCUCGUCUACCUAGAAAGCGUGGCCAAUUCCUAAACCUUAGUACUUCCUUCGUCCGAAUUUACUUGUCGAACAGAUGUAUUUAGCACUAAAAUAUGUUUUGAUAUUUUAUUUCGGCGAGAACUAAAUCCAGAUGAAGACAGAUGUUCUGCUUAGGACCUCCUGCACUUAUAUAUAGUUAAAGUGAUUUAAGUUUGUACGCUUGAGAUUUUCUCAUGAAAGAGGCACUUGCCAAUAAAUGCAAAAAAUAGUGGAAGGGCACAGUACUACGCAGCUGCCUCCUCCACUAAAAAUGACUAGGGCUUCUCUGCCUCCUGUUGGCGUCGCCGCCGAUCCGCCUUGUCUCCGGCGGCUUUAGGGACAUUGCGGUGGAUCUCGGCUCUUGCCGACGAGAGGGCUCUGUUUUUACAUGUUCCUUUGAGUUUGGUUAAGUUUUGUGUCCUGUUUAGAAAGAUGACGGUGACGGUUACCAGAAGAUGGUAUAAGGUUCUCUCCGCCUAGCCUCCGUCCCGGUGGUGCGCCUAGCAUCGUCCUUGGUGGAUUUGCUCGGAUCUGAUCGUAGUUUAUCUACGUUCAUGUGUCUUCAGGUUGGAUCCUUCCGAUCUACGCUACUCUUCAAUAGCGGCGGUUGCUAUUCUGGUGCGCUGAUCCUAUGGGGCCUUAGCAUGCAUGACGACUUUCUGACUGUCUACUACAAUAAAUUUUGCCCGGCUCUGGCAAGAAAGAGGUGAUGACGACGGCGCACCUUCGGCUCGCUUCAAUGCUUCUAGUCGUCGCUAGGUGGUCCGUCUAUGGAUCUAGAUGUAACUUUUUUCUUUGUUAUAUUUUAUGUUCAUUGUACUGCCAUGAUUGAAUGAAUAGAUUAAAGAAUUUCACGUAAAAGAAAAAUGAAACCACCACGUGUUGGUACCUAAAAUAUACUUCCUCCGUCUUAAAAUAAGUGUCACGUGUUGGUACCUAAAAUAUACCUUCCCCGUCCCAAAAUAGGUGUCAUGUGUUGGUACCUAAAACAUACUUCAUCCGUCCUAAAAAAAAGUCACAUGUUGAUACUAAAAUUGACACGCUUAUUUUAGGAUGAAGAAAGUAACAAAGUACCGCCACACUGAAAAGUAGUCACGGAUUGUCAAGCCGGGACACAGAAUGACAGAAGGCUGAUCAUCCAUCCCCUGCUCAAGUGCCUCAGUGCCAUGCCAUUUGCCUGCACAACACAGGGCCAUCUCAAACGCCAUGGCUGCAAAUUAGGAGCCGUUGCAUCCAGAAAUCUGCUGCACGUCCCGAUCGAUUUUUAAUGUGCUACUGUAUGUACGCGAGCCUGUCUGGCCGUGGCAUCGCCGUGCCAACCCUCUCAUUGUCCAUCAUAAGCUACGUACAGGGCCGUCCUGCCCGCCCUGUCUCCUCUCCUCUCCUCUCCUCUGGCGCCAACUCACACGCACUACACUCACCGGGCUGGCAAAGUUCGCAGAACCAUCCAUCCAUUCGGCACGCCACGCUCGUCUCCAAACCCCUCACGCCCCGCUCGUUCCACUCACACAACACAAGCUUCCAUCCAUUUUUCUCCUCCUCCUCAACCUUCUAGCUAGCUAGUUAGUUGAGUGAGCGUACUUUUGGUAGCACGAAACGCACGGCUCGCAUGGCGGUUUCGGUGCUGGCGAUCCUGCUCGCCUCUUGCGCCCUGGCGGUGGCGAGCUUCGACAAGGAGUUCGAUAUCACGUGGGGUGACGGGCGCGGCAAGAUCCUCAACAACGGCCAGGUCCUCACGCUGGGGUUGGACAAGGUCUCUGGCUCCGGAUUCCAGUCCAAGCACGAGUACCUCUUCGGCAAGAUCGACAUGCAGCUCAAGCUCGUUCCCGGCAACUCCGCCGGCACCGUCACCGCCUACUACGUAAGAGAACCAACAUUCACUCAUUGCUCUGCUUCUCUGUCCCAGAUGACACGGUUGCUUGCUUGAUUGAUGUGCGUGCCUAACAAAACUCGAUUGGUUUGGUGCGUAUGAAUGUGCAGCUGUCGUCGCAGGGGCCGACGCACGAUGAGAUCGACUUCGAGUUCCUCGGCAACGUCACCGGCGAGCCGUACACGCUGCACACCAACGUGUUCACGCAGGGGCAGGGCCAGCGGGAGCAGCAGUUCCGCCUCUGGUUCGAUGCCACCAACGACUUCCACACCUACUCCAUCCUCUGGAACCCAAAGCAUAUAAUGUAAGUUGUUGAUCGCCAUUGCCCAACCUUCGUUUGUCAUUCCGUGGCUUGUGCAGCACAAUCACAUGGACUGACCGAUCAUGGUGUACUUAAAUGCAGCUUCAUGGUGGACGACAUGCCGAUCAGGGACUUCAAGAACCUGGAGGGGAAGGGGAUCGCCUUCCCCAAGAACCAGCCGAUGCGGCUCUACUCCAGCCUCUGGAACGCCGAUGACUGGGCCACGCAGGGCGGCCGCGUCAAGACGGACUGGUCCCACGCGCCGUUCUCUGCUUCCUACCGCGGCUUCAAGGCCGACGCGUGCGUGGUGACCGCGGCCGGCCGGCCGCGCUGCGGCUCCAGCGUGGGCACGGAGGUUGCCCCCGGCACCGGCGCGGCGGGCGAGUGGUACAACCAGGAGCUGGACCUGACGCGGCAGCAGCGGAUGCGGUGGGUGCAGAGCAACUACAUGAUCUACAACUACUGCACCGACCCCAAGCGCGUCGCCAAGGGCCUCCCCGCCGAGUGCUCCAUGUAGUCCAUGCAUGUCGAUCGCCGGAGGAUGGCGGCCGGAGAUAGGGAAGAUGGGGUCUCUGUAUAAACCCAUAUAAAUAAGGAUUGGAAAUGGGAAACUGUGUAAAGUAGCCGAUGGUAGAUUCCUCUGUCAUCUACGCCUAGUUCUUGUAAUUGUGCUCACGAUCGUUUCGUGUGUAAUAUCUUGCCUCCUCGUACGUUCGAUUUUUUUUAAAAGAGACCAUCUGCCGAACGGUAUUGUCAAAAAAGACCUCCUCCGGAUUAAAGUGACAAAAAAGAUCCCCUCGGCCAUGGCGGCAGGUGCCACGUGUCGGCAUAACCGCAAAAGGCUGGCACGACGGAACGGGCUGGCAAUGUGGGCCCCUGCCGCCUCAGGGGCUGGCGGCAGGACUGUGCCGGUAGGCCUGGCCGCCUCUCUGGCUGGCGGCAGGUCCGUGCAUGCGCGCUACGGCGCCGCUCGUCUAAGACCAGUACGGACUAAGGAACAUGCAUGCGUGCUCUACAUACCAGUGCUAAAUAAACAGGCAUGGGGGGCAAGGCAACUACGUAAGCAGUUUAAUUAAGCCAAGUCUGAUCUGCCAUGCAUCAUUUCUUGUCGUCUCGUCACAAGUUUUCAUGUUCGUUCUCAUGCAUGCUACGAAAGCAAUUCCAUCGUCUCUUUCUCUGUGUGUAUGCGGGGUAUUUCAGAUCGACGACACGACGCGACGAGGCUACCUAGCUAGGCUAGGCCACUGUGAUGUGCGCCACGACGCGACGAGGCUACCUACCUGUGCUGCCGCCUCAGCCACAGGCGGCAGGCCCCACCACCGGGCCUCUGUUACGUUGCGCGAGCAACUGCACCGUAAUCCGCGGGCCGCCGCCUGCCCGGCUGGCACCAGGGCUGGGAGGCGGUGCCACGUGUCGCCCGGCGCGCCUGCCGCCACGGCUGUGGUGGUCUUUUUUGUCAAUUUCAUCCGGAAAAUGUCUUUUUUGUCAAUUCUGUUGUGUAGGGUUUUUUUCCAACAAAAAUUCCGUACAUUCAUCACCUUUGUGCUGCUCUCGGCUCACCUUUCAAAACUGAAACAUUCGGUUCGAUGAAAAGACCUAUCCACGAUUGCAUUGGCACACUCAAAAUCAUUGGGUACGGUGCAUGCAUAGCCACACCUAAGCGCCGCGCAGUACGUGUAAGGUGAAGGGAGCUCGGUCCGUGCAGGGCAUGGGCGGACGGCCACUGACCGCAAGGCGACAUGAAGCGCGACAGAGGAAAGGACAAUGGCUUCCCUUCGUAAUGAUCCGUCAGGUCCAGCCAACUGCAGCUGCGAACCCUACCUACGUCGUCUUCACUGCCACACUAGCGGAUGGGUGAAAUGCGUGUACGUUCGAAAUUGACCAGGUUGCAGUCUUGCAGCUCUACAGUUGGGAAAUAUAGGGUGAUACAUCAAUUAGAUGCUCCCAUGAUGUCAAUUUUAAAAAAAACAAGCUUAAUUGUUUCAAAAAAAUAAAAAAAAUGUUCACAACACAUAUAUCUACAACCCAUAAAAAUUUCAGAUACAAAUUCAUACUAUACACUGAGAAAGAAAAAAGAGAAAUUCAACACCAAUAGUGUCAAUAACCACAAAACAUAUAACUAACCCUCAGUGAAAGAAAGAGGACUUUCAGCUAGGGUUUUUGGUGCCUCCAGUUGGUGCUGCCGCCGGUCUACCUCGGCUCAUGUGGUCUUAGGGUCAUCGAGGCGUGGUGGAUCCCGUCCGUUGUCGCGGGAGGGCUCUGUGUUUUCAUGCUCUUUUGACUUUUGUUAAGAUUUUUGUCCUGCUCAGAGAGGCGAGGCGGUGGCAGCUCUCGAAAGAUGGAAUAAGGUUCUCCCUGCCUAGUCCAUGUCCUGGCGGUGUAUCUAGCAUCGUCGGAGGGCAUGCGAAGGUUUGUCUCUGACGAGUAUCAUGGGAUUCGGUCGAUGUUUGUCUUUGGUGCAUCCACGUUGAUCCUGUCUUCGUUCGUCUGUGUUCAUGUGUCUACAGGUCGGAUCCUUUCGAUCUACGCUUCUCAUCAUCGGCGGCAGUUGCUCUUCUGGUGCGCUGGUCGUAUGGAGCCUUAGCACGACGACUUUCCAAUUGUCAACUACAACAAGGUUUGCCAGCUCCGAUGAGGGAGGGGCGAAGACGGUGGCGCGCCUUCGGCUCGCUCCAGUGCGAGUAGUCGUUGCUAGGUGGUCAACGGACCUGGAUGCAUUUUUUUACUUCUGGUGUUCUUUGUACUUCCUUGACAGUUGAUGAAUAGAUCAGAAGUUAUCCUCACAAAAAAAAAGAAAACAUGAACAAUGUCAAAAACUGCACUAUUCACAUUUGGUUUUGUCCUUUUUGUUUCUCUUUGUGUACUUUGAAUUUUGAUAUAAUAUUUGUAGGGCUUGUAUACAUAUGUGUUGUGACAUUCACAACACAUAUGUAUACAACCCCUUCUGUCCUAUGUUCUCACUAGUCCACACCGCCACUCGAAUGGUGGCCAUGCAGGUCUCCUCCUCCUCAGCUCCACUCCUCACCUCUCCCUCUCCUCGUCUUCCCCAUCACCGCCGCUUGGCCACGCUGCCAUGCAAAGUUCGGUCGACAUCGACGGUUGUGGGUAAUUCCUCCCUCCAUUGUGCUUACCCGGUCGACGUGGGCGGUGUGGGUAUUGAAGGAAAUAUGCCCUAGAGGCAAUAAUAAAGUAUUAUUUAUUUGCUUAUAUCAUGAUAAAUGUUUAUUAUUCAUGCUAGAAUUGUAUUAACCGGAAACAUAAUACAUGUGUGAAUACAUAGACAAACAGAGUGUCACUAGUAUGCCUCUACUUGACUAGUUCGUUAAUCAAAGAUGGUUAUGUUUCCUAGCCACAGACAUGAGUUGUCAUUUGAUUAACGGGAUCACCUCAUUAGGAGAAUGAGGUGAUUGACUUGACCCAUUCCGUUAGCUUAGCACUCGAUCGUUUAGUAUGUUGCUAUUGCUUUCUUCAUGACUUAUACAUGUUCCUAUGACUAUGAGAUUAUGCAACUCCCGUUUACCGGAGGAACACUUUGUGUGCUACCAAACGUCACAACGUAACUGGGUGAUUAUAAAGGUGCUCUACAGGUGUCUCGUAAGGUACUUGUUGGGUUGGCGUAUUUCGAGAUUAGGAUUUGUCACUCCGAUUGUCGGAGAGGUAUCUCUGGGCCCACUCGGUAAUGCACAUCACUAUAAGCCUUGCAAGCAUUGUAACUAAUGAGUUAGUUGCGGGAUGAUGUAUUACGGAACGAGUAAAGAGACUUGUCGGUAACGAGAUUGAACUAGGUAUCGAGAUACCAACGAUCGAAUCUCGGGCAAGUAACAUACCGAUGACAAAGGGAACAACGUAUGUUGUUAUGCGGUCUGACCGAUAAAGAUCUUCGUAGAAUAUGUGGGAACCAAUAUGAGCAUCCAGGUUCCGCUAUUGGUUAUUGACCGGAGAGGUGUCUCGGUCAUGUCUACAUAGUUCUCGAACCCGUAGGGUCCGCACGCUUAAAGUUACGAUGACAGUUAUAUUAUGAGUUUAUAUGUUUUGAUGUACCGAAGGUUGUUCGGAGUCCCGGAUGUGAUCACGGACAUGACGAGGAGUCUCGAAAUGGUCGAGACAUAAAGAUUGAUAUAUUGGAAGCCUAUGUUUGGACAUCGGAAGUGUUCCGGGUGAAAUCGGGAUUUUUCCGGAGUACCGGGAGGUUACCGGAACCCCCCCGGUAACUUAAUGGGCCUUAUUGGGCCUAGGUGGAAGAGAGGAGAGGAGGCUAGGGCAGGGCCGCGCCCCCCUUCCCCCCAGUCCGAAUAGGACAAGGAGAGGGGGGGCGGCGCCCCCCUUCCUUCCUCCCCUCCACCUCUUCCCCUUUCCCACUCCUAGUCCAACAUGGAAAGGGGGGGAGUCCUACUCCCGGUAGGAGUAGGACUCCUCCUAGGCGCGCCACACCUCCUAGGCCGGAGGCCUCCCCCUUGCACCUUUAUAUACGGGGGCAGGGGGCACCUCUAGACACACAAUUGAUAUACGAUAUUUUAGCCGUGUGCGGUGCCCCCCUCCACCAUAUUACACCUCGAUAAUAUCGUUGCGGAGCUUAGGCGAAGCCCUGCGUCGGUAGAACAUCAUCAUCGUCACCACGCCGUCGUGCUGACGAAACUGUCCCUCAACACUCGGCUGGAUCGGAGUUCGAGGGACGUCAUCGAGCUGAACGUGUGCUGAACUCGGAGGUGCCGUGCGUUCGGUACUUGAUCGGUCGGAUCGUGAAGACGUACGACUACAUCAACCGCGUUGUGUUAACGCUUCCGCUUUCGGUCUACGAGGGUACGUGGACAACACUCUCCCCUCUCGCUGCUAUGCAUCACCAUGAUCUUGCGUGUGCGUAGGAAUUUUUUUGAAAUUACUACGUUCCCCAACAGUGGCAUCCGAGCCUGGUUUUAUGCGUUGAUGCAAUGCACGAGUAGAACACAAGUGAGUUGUGGGCGAUAUAAGUCAUACUGCUUACCAGCAUGUCAUACUUUGGUUCGGCGGUAUUGUGAGAUGAAGCGGCCCGGACCGACAUUACGCGUACGCUUACGCGAGACUGGUUUCACCGUUGCGAGCACUCGUAGCUUAAAGGUGACUGGCGGGUGCCUGUCUCUCUCACUUUAGUUGAACCGAGUGUGGCUACGCCCGGUCCUUGCGAAGGUUAAAACAGCACCAACUUGACAAACUAUCGUUGUGGUUUUGAUGCGUAGGUAAGAACGGUUCUUGCUAAGCCCGUAGCAGCCACGUAAAACUUGCAACAAUAAAGUAGAGGACAUCUAACUUGUUUUUCCAGGGCAUGUUGUGAUGUGAUAUGGUCAAGACAUGAUGCUAUAUUUUAUUGUAUGAGAUGAUCAUGUUUUGUAACCGAGUUAUCGGCAACUGGCAGGAGCCAUAUGGUUGUCGCUUUAUUGUAUGCAAUGCAAUCGCCAUGUAAUUGUUUUACUUUAUCACUAAGCGGUAGCGAUAGUCGUAAAAGCAAUAAGUUGGCGAAACGACAACGAUACUACGAUGGAGAUCAAGGUGUCACGCCGGUGACGAUGGUGAUCAUGACGGUGCUUCGGAGAUGGAGAUCACAAGCACAAGAUGAUGAUGGCCAUAUCAUAUCACUUAUAUUGAUUGCAUGUGAUGUUAAUCUUUUAUGCAUCUUAUCUUGCUUUGAUUGACGGUAGCAUUAUAAGAUGAUCUCUCACUAAACAUUCAAGAUAAAAGUGUUCUCCCUGAGUAUGCACCGUCGCGAAAGUUCUUCGCGCUGAGACACCACGUGAUGAUCGGGUGUGAUAGGCUCUACGUUCAAAUACAACGGGUGCAAAACAGUUGCACACGCGGAAUACUCAGGUUAAACUUGACGAGCCUAGCAUAUGCAGAUAUGGCCUCGGAACACAGAGACCGAAAGGUCGAGCGUGAAUCAUAUAGUAGAUAUGAUCAACAUAGUGAUGUUCACCAUUGAAACUACUCCAUUUCACGUGAUGAUCGAACAUGGUUUAGUUGAUUUGGAUCACGUAAUCACUUAGAUGAUUAGAGGGAUGUCUAUCUAAGUGGGAGUUCUUAAGUAAUAUGAUUAAUUGAACUUGAAUUUAUCAUGAACUUAGUACAUGAUAGUAUCUUGCUUGUCUAUGUUAAUUGUAGAUAAAUGGCCCGUGCUGUUGUUCCGUUGAAUUUUAAUGCGUUCCUUGAGAAAGCAAAGUUGAAAGAUGAUGGUAGCAAUUACACGGACUGGGUCCGUAACUUGAGGAUUAUCCUCAUUGCUGCACAGAAGAAUUACGUCCUGGAAGCACCGCUAGGUGCCAGGCCUCCUGCAAGAGCAACACCAGAAGUUAUGAACGUCUGGCAGAGCAAAGCUGAUGACUACUCGAUAGUUCAGUGUGCCAUGCUUUACGGCUUAGAACCGGGUCUUCAACGACGUUUUGAACGUCAUGGAGCAUAUGAGACAUUCCAGGAGUUGAAGUUAAUAUUUCAAGCAAAUGCCCGGAUUGAGAGAUAUGAAGUCUCCAAUAAGUUCUACAGCUGCAAGAUGGAAGAGAAUAGUUCUGUCAGUGAGCAUAUACUCAAAAUGUCUGGGUAUAAUAAUCACUUGAUUCAACUGGGAGUUAAUCUUCCGGAUGAUAGCGUCAUUGACAGAAUUCUUCAAUCACUACCACCAAGCUACAAGAGCUUCGUGAUGAACUAUAACAUGCAAGGGAUGAAUAAGACAAUUCCCGAGCUCUUCGCAAUGCUAAAGGCAGCGGAGGUAGAAAUCAAAAAGGAGCAUCAAGUGUUGAUGGUCAGUAAGACCACUAGUUUCAAGAAAAAGGGCAAAGGGAAGAAGGGGAACUUCAAGAAGAAUAGCAAGCAAGUUGCUGUUCAGGAGAAGAAACCCAAGUCUGGACCUAAGCCUGAAACUGAGUGCUUCUACUGCAAACAGACUGGUCACUGGAAGCGGAACUGCCCCAAGUAUUUGGCGGAUAAGAAGGAUGGCAAGGUUAACAAAGGUAUAUGUGAUAUACAUGUUAUUGAUGUGUACCUUACUAAUGCUCGCAGUAGCACCUGGGUAUUUGAUACUGGUUCUGUUGCUAAUAUUUGCAACUCGAAACAGGGGCUACAGAUUAAGCGAAGAUUGGCUAAGGACGAGGUGACGAUGCGCGUGGGAAAUGGUUCCAAAGUCGAUGUGAUCGUCGUCGGCACACUACCUCUACAUCUACCUUCGGGAUUAGUAUUAGACCUAAAUAAUUGUUAUUUGGUGCCAGCGUUGAGCAUGAACAUUAUAUCUGGAUCUUGUUUGAUGCGAGACGGUUAUUCAUUUAAAUCAGAGAAUAAUGGUUGUUCUAUUUAUAUGAAUAAUAUCUUUUAUGGUCAUGCACCCUUAAAGAGUGGUCUAUUUUUAAUGAAUCUCGAUAGUAGUGACACACAUAUUCAUAAUGUCGAAGCCAAAAGAUGCAGAGUUGAUAAUUAUAGUGCAACUUAUUUGUGGCACUGCCGUUUAGGUCAUAUCGGUGUAAAGCGCAUGAAGAAACUCCAUACUGAUGGACUUUUGGAAUCACUUGAUUAUGAAUCACUUGGUACUUGUGAACCGUGCCUCACGGGCAAGAUGACUAAAACACCGUUCUCCGGAACUAUGGAGAGAGCAACAGAUUUAUUGGAAAUCAUACAUACAGAUGUAUGUGGUCCGAUGAAUAUUGAGGCUCGUGGCGGAUAUCGUUAUUUUCUCACCUUCACAGAUGAUUUGAGCACAUAUGGGUAUAUCUACUUAAUGAAACACAAGUCUGAAACAUUUGAAAAGUUCAAAGAAUUUCAGAGUGAAGUUGAAAAUCAUCGUAACAAGAAAAUAAAAUUUCUACGAUCUGAUCGUGGAGGAGAAUAUUUGAGUUACGAGUUUGGCCUACAUUUUAAACAAUGCGGAAUAGUUUCGCAACUCACGCCACCCGGAACACCACAGCGUAAUGGUGUGUCCGAACGUCGUAAUCGUACUUUACUAGAUAUGGUGCGAUCUAUGAUGUCUCUUACUGAUUUACCGCUAUCGUUUUGGGGUUAUGCUUUAGAGACGGCUGCAUUCACUCUAAAUAGGGCACCAUCGAAAUCCGUUAAAAUGACACCUUAUGAACUAUGGUUUGGCAAGAAACCAAAGUUGUCGUAUCUUAAAGUUUGGGGUUGCGAUGCUUAUGAGAAGAAACUUCAACCUGAUAAGCCCGAACCUAAAUCGGAGAAAUGUGUCUUCAUAGGAUACCCAAAGGAAACUGUUGGGUACACCUUCUAUCACAGAUCCGAAGGCAAGACAUUCGUUGCUAAGAAUGGAUCCUUUCUAGAGAAGGAGUUUCUCUCGAAAGAAGUGAGUGGGAGGAAAGUAGAACUUGAUGAGGUAACUGUACCUGCUCCCUUAUUGGAAAGUAGAUCAUCACAGAAACCAGUUUCUGCGACACCUACACCAAUUAGUGGGGAAGUUAAUGAUAAUGAUCAUGAAACUUCAGAUCAAGUUAUUACAGAACCUCGUAGGUCAACCAGAUUAAGUUACUAGACCAUGACGAACCUACGAACUAUGAAGAAGCGACGGUGAGCCCAGAUUCCGCAAAAUGGCUUGAGGCCAUGAAAUCCGAGAUGGGAUCCAUGUAUGAGAACAAAGUAUGGACUUUGGUUGACUUGCCCGAUGGUCAGCAAGCCAUUGAAAAUAAAUGGAUCUUCAAGAAGAAGACUGACGCUGAUGGUAAUGUUAUUGUCUAUAAAGCUCGACUUGUUGCGAAAGGUUUUCGACAAGUUCAAGGGAUUGACUACGAUGAGACCUUCUCACCCGUAGCGAUGCUUAAGUCUGUCCAAAUCAUGUUAGCAAUUGCCGCAUUUUAUGAUUAUGAAAUUUGGCAAAUGGAUGUAAAAACUGCAUUCCUGAAUGGAUUUCUGGAAGAAGAGUUGUAUAUGAUGCAACCGGAAGGUUUUAUCGAUCCAAAGGGAGCUAACAAAGUGUGCAAGCUCCAGCGAUCCAUUUAUGAACUGGUGCAAGCCUCUCGGAGUUGGAAUAAACGCUUUGAUAGUGUGAUCAAAGCAUUUGGUUUUAUACAGACUUUUGGAGAAGCCUGUAUUUACAAGAAAGUGAGUGGGAGCUCAGUAGCAUUUCUGAUAUUAUAUGUGGAUGACAUAUUGCUGAUUGGAAAUGAUAUAAAAUUUCUGGAUAGCAUAAAGGGAUACUUGAAUAAGAGUUUUUCAAUGAAAGACCUCGGUGAAGCUGCAUAUAUAUUAGGCAUUAAGAUCUAUAGAGAUAGAUCAAGACGCUUAAUUGGACUUUCACAAAGCACAUACCUUGACAAAGUUUUGAAGAAGUUCAAAAUGGAUCAAGAAAAGAAAGGGUUCUUGCCUGUACUACAAGGUGUGAGAUUGAGUAAGACUCAAUGCCCGACCACUGCAGAAGAUAGAGAGAAAAUGAAAGAUGUUCCCUAUGCUUGAGCCAUAGGCUCUAUCAUGUAUGCAAUGCUGUGUACCAGACCUGAUGUGUGCCAUGCUAUAAGUUUAGCAGGGAGGUACCAAAGUAAUCCAGGAGUGGAUCACUGGAUAGCGGUCAAGAACAUCCUGAAAUACCUGAAAAGGACUAAGGAUAUGUUUCUCGUUUAUGGAGGUGACAAAGAGCUCAUCGUAAAUGGUUACGUUGAUGCAAGCUUUGACACUGAUCCGGACGAUUCUAAAUUGCAAACCGGAUACGUAUUUACAUUGAACGGUGGAGCUAUCAGUUUGUGCAGUUCUAAGCAAACUGUCGUAGCGGGAUCUACGUGUGAAGCGGAGUACAUAGCUGCUUCGGAAGCAGCAAAUGAAGGAGUCUGGAUGAAGGAGUUCAUAUCCGAUCUAGGUGUCAUACCUAGUGCAUCGGGACCAAUGAAAAUCUUUUGUGAAAACACUGGUGCAAUUGCCUUAGCAAAGGAAUCUAGAUUUCACAAGAGAACCAAGCACAUCAAAAGACGCUUCAAUUCCAUCCGGGAUUUAGUCCAGGUGGGAGACAUAGAAAUUUGCAAGAUACAUACGGAUCUGAAUGUUGCAGACCCGUUGACUAAGCCUCUUCCACGAGCAAAACAUGAUCAACACCAAGACUCCAUGGGUGUAAGAAUCAUUACUAUGUAAUCUAGAUUAUUGACUCUAGUGCAAGUGGGAGACUGAAGGAAAUAUGCCCUAGAGGCAAUAAUAAAGUUAUUAUUUAUUUCCUUAUAUCAUGAUAAAUGUUUAUUAUUCAUGCUAGAAUUGUAUUAACCGGAAACAUAAUACAUGUGUGAAUACAUAGACAAACAGAGUGUCACUAGUAUGCCUCUACUUGACUAGCUCGUUAAUCAAAGAUGGUUAUGUUUCCUAGCCAUAGACAUGAGUUGUCAUUCGAUUAACGGGAUCACCUCAUUAGGAGAAUGACGUGAUUGACUUGACCCAUUCCGUUAGCUUAGCACUCGAUCGUUUAGUAUGUUGCUAUUGCUUUCUUCAUGACUUAUACAUGUUCCUAUGACUAUGAGAUUAUGCAACUCCCGUUUACCGGAGGAACACUUUGUGUGCUACGAAACGUCACAACGUAACUGGGUGAUUAUAAAGGUGCUCUACAGGUGUCUCCAAAGGUACUUGUUGGGUUGGCGUAUUUCGAGAUUAGGAUUUGUCACUCCGAUUGUCGGAGAGGUAUCUCUGGGCCCACUCGGUAAUGCACAUCACUAUAAGCCUUGCAACCAUUGUAACUAAUGAGUUAGUUGCGGGAUGAUGUAUUACGGAACGAGUAAAGAGACUUGCCGGUAACGAGAUUGAACUAGGUAUCGAGAUACCGACGAUCGAAUCUCGGGCAAGUAACAUACCAAUGACAAAGGGAACAACGUAUGCUGUUAUGCGGUCUGACCGAUAAAGAUCUUCGUAGAAUAUGUGGGAACCAAUAUGAGAAUCCAGGUUCCUCUAUUGGUUAUUGACCGGAGAGGUGUCUCGGUCAUGUCUACAUAGUUCUCGAACCCGUAGGGUCCGCACGCUUAAAGUUACGAUGACAGUUAUAUUAUGAGUUUAUAUGUUUUGAUGUACCGAAGGUUGUUCGGAGUCCCGGAUGUGAUCACGCACAUGACGAGGAGUCUCGAAAUGGUCGAGACAUAAAGAUUGAUAUAUUGGAAGCCUAUGUUUGGACAUCGGAAGUGUUCCGGGUGAAAUCGGGAUUUUUCCGGAGUACCGGGAGGUUACCGGAACCCCCCGGUAACUUAAUGGGCCUUAUUGGGCCUAGGUGGAAGAGAGGAGAGGAGGCUAGGGCAGGGCCGCGCCCCCCUUCCCCCCCAGUCCGAAUAGGACAAGGAGAGGGGGGCGGCGCCCCCCUUCCUUCCUCCCCUCCACCUCUUCCCCUCUCCCACUCCUAGUCCAACAUGGAAAGGGGGGAGUCCUACUCCCGGUAGGAGUAGGACUCCUCCUAGGCGCGCCACACCUCCUAGGCCGGCGGCCUCCCCCUUGCACCUUUAUAUACGGGGGCAGGGGGCACCUCUAGACACACAAUUGAUAUACGAUAUUUUAGCCGUGUGCGGUGCCCCCCUCCACCAUAUUACACCUCGAUAAUAUCGUUGCGGAGCUUAGGCGAAGCCCUGCGUCGGUAGAACAUCAUCAUCGUCACCACGCCGUCGUGCUGACGAAACUGUCCCUCAACACUCGGCUGGAUCGGAGUUCGAGGGACGUCAUCGAGCUGAACGUGUGCUGAACUCGGAGGUGCCGUGCGUUCGGUACUUGAUCGGUCGGAUCGUGAAGACGUACGACUACAUCAACCACGUUGUGCUAACGCUUCCGCUUUCGGUCUACGAGGGUACGUGGACAACACUCUCCCCUCUCGUUGCUAUGCAUCACCAUGAUCUUGCGUGUGCGUAGGAAUUUUUUUGAAAUUACUACGUUCCCCAACAGGUAUUUCCUCCCUCCCUUAUGCGCUAGGGGUGGUACGGGUCGCGACUGUCUGGUAGAUGCGUCAUGCUAGGUGUGGGGAUCCUAUGGUCCAAAUGGUAUAUAUGGAUAAGAAAUUUCCUUUACACUACACUCUUUCACUUUGGUCUAAAUUAAUUCCGUUGUUUGGGAAGAGCCCUAAACUAAUAGACCUCCUUUCAGCGACUACCUGCGCGAUUGUAUUGAAGCGCAUGCCUCAAAAAACCACGCACUUUGUAAAUAUGCACCGUUUGAAGGGAGAUAAGGUUUUGUGUAAGCUUCUUAGCUCAUCUUUGUUCAAUACUUCUCCUAUCGAGCCAUGUUUGGAUACUGACGCUUCAAAGAGUACGAUCUAUUGGUUCUUGCGUUUGUUAUACAUGUGAAGUUAAUACAGAUAUGAUGUUUCUAUGUUUCGUAUGCACUCGCACUCUUGCGACUAGUUUACUUUACAUGAUAUUGAUAACACUACUUUCAUGAAGUUAGUUUAGAUAAAAUUAAUUAAAAAAUACUAAUUAUUUCAACAAUUCAUUAGUUCUGAUACCAUACCGAAUUUCACGCAUAAAUUAACCAGUUAAUCAAAAAGCGAGCAAUGUCUAUUGGAGAAGAGGAGCACCAAUUUUGCAAGAACGAGUAACAACUAAAUUUAGGGCGUGGCUACAUGCGAGUCGCCUGAAAAAAAUCAGCACAAAUAGGAAAAGGGCUAUAGCUAAUCUGGACAUUAAUGGCGCACCAUGUAUGUGGUGCGCCACUGCUAUAUAGCAGUGGCGCACCAGAUACAGGUGCGUCAUUAUUGUCCUCAUUACUAAUGGCGCACCAGACACAGGGUGCGCCAUUACUAACAAUUUUUUUUAUUUUUCCAAAACUAUUAAUGGCGCACCAUGGCACAGUGCGCCAUUACUAGUUUUAACUAGUAAUGGCGCACCACACACUCUGUGCGCCACUACUAACAAUUUUUUUUUACUUUUUUUCAAAACUAGUAAUGGCGCACCUCGUACAGUGCGCCAUUACAAGUUACUUGUAAUGGCGCACCACAUCCACAGUGCGCCACUACUAACAUUUUUUUUGCAAAACUAGUAAUGGCGCACCACGUAACAGGUGCGUCAUUAGUAACCAGGGUUACUAAUGGCGCAUUUUUAGGUGGUGCGCUAUUAGUAACCUGAGACCAGCUAGAUAUUUUGCACAGCCACCUACCACACUCACUUUCCUCACUUCAUUCUCUCCACCUCCUCCUCCAAGAUUGUCUCGUCUGCCUCCUCCUCCUCACCUCAUUUGCACCAUAGAUUCACCCAAAUUAAGUGGUUAAAUUACCUUUUUUGAUAGGUAAGUAAGGGGAAAGCUUUCUUUAUAUUGUAGAUCUACUUUUUUCUCCCUCCAACAACAUGCACAUCCACUUUUUAUGGCCUAGCUAGAUCUACGUAUGUUUGUGGUGUUGCAUAUAUGUUUGUGUUUGCAGGUACCGGUAUUUGAAAUGCGAUAGUUGCCAAUAUUUUGCCGAAAUGUUGAUUCAUUUCCGUUUCGGCGAGAAUUUGGCACUAUGCAUUCUUUUUGGUCCUAUUUUUAGGCAAAGUCAUGCCAAAUUUUUUCUUGGUUCUAAAAUAUCGUUUUGCUCUACCCCGCAGGCGACCAUGGUCCGCACGAUGACCGAAGGCAUCAUGAAUAGGUUUUUGAGCUCCGCGAAGGCCGAGAUGCUUCAAAAGAACGAGACGGAGAUAAGAUGUCCGUGUCGAAGAUGCAAACUGAAGAGCCUUAUUACGGACCCGGAUUCCGGACAGGUGCGGGACCACCUACUCUUGCGUGGUUUCAUGGAUGGCUAUCGGUGGCAAGGUGAUGAAGAUGACUAUGAAGUCGUCCAUGGGGGCCGGGCAAGAAAUGAGGAAGGGCAGCAAGACAACCACCGCGGCGAGGGCGGGCGAGAAGACGAAGAAUCUCGAGGACAUGAUCACGACGGCGAUGCAGUACACAGUCAUCAUGUAGAAGAUGCCGGACAUGAUGAUGAGGAAGAUCAAGACGAAGGGCAUGAUCAUGAAGCUGAAGAUGCCAGAGCAGACGACGAUGGACCAUCGAUGGGCUGGGUGCAGGACCCUCAUAUUCAAGAGCUGCUUCUCAAGCAGACGGAUAACGCAAGAGCUGCCGCCCGAGAGAAAGCCAAGCUGGAUCAACUGGAGAUAGACGCGGUUACUCCAUUGUAUGAAGGAUGCAGGCCCGAGGAUACCCGCCUGAAAGUAACGCUCAUGGCUCUGGAGAUGAAGGUAAAACACAAAAUGACCGACGCAUGCUUCGACGAGAACAUGUUAUUCUGGCACGAACGUCUUCCCAAGGGGAACAAGUCCCCGACCAGUUUCGAGGAGGCGAAGAAAAUCGUGUGUCCUCUGGAUUUACCGCACGUGAAAUACCAUGUGUGCAUGAACAAUUGCAUCAUUUAUCGGGACGAGCACGCGGAGUCUACCAUAUGUCCGGUGUGCGGCAUCACUCGAUACAAGAAGAGGAAGAAAGCUCCUCGAAAAGUGGUGUGGUACUUUCCGAUCACUCCUCGUCUGCAGCGGUAUUUCGUGGACCCUAAGCUAGCAAAGCUCCUGCGUUGGCACGCGGAUAUGGAGGAGAAGAAGCGAGAAGAUGACGAAAAUGAUCCGGAGAUAAAUAAAAAAGACAAGAUGCUGAGUCACCCUAAGGAUGCGAGUAAGUGGCGGGUAGGCCGAUGCUACCAACUAAUCUGCUCAAUACUGCAACCGGUGCUAUGCGGAGUCUGCAUGACAGUGUUCUUUCUUUGGAGAAGCGGCGUCUCUCCGAGAAUGAUGUGGCAUACCCGGUUUUCGUGGCCAAGGUGCCAGAGGGCAAGGGCUUUGUGGAUAGCGCCAUCGGGAGUACGAUCGUCCUGCGGUUUGAUGACAUCUUCGCUAUGUUUAACCUUCAUCCGCUGCACUACACCUUCGUUCGGCUAUUUUCGCUGAGUAUGGAGAUGCAGAUCAUUAGAGACAAGACCCCGGACAUCGUGAUAGUCGACCCCUUCUACAUGCGUGCCAAGAUCUUGGGCAGCGCUGGGGACUGGCAAGUCGCGAGUUCAUACCUCGAAGGCGUCAUUCUAGCAAACCCAGAUAAGGAUAACUUCCUUGUGCCUUACUUUCCCGAGUAAGUCAUCCCCUCAUCGCCCCGUAACAUAUGAUUUCUUGGAUUUCGAUCGUUCUUUUUUUUUCUAACAUUCCGUGUUUUGUGCAGUGACACACAUUGCACACUCAUCCUCUUAAGCCCGAAAUAUUCCAUGGCCACAUAUUUCGACUCGGACCGUCAGUCGAAGAAAGACUACACAAAUAUCAAGAAAGUUCUUGAUGAUGUUCUCCCCGGCUACGCCAGAUCUGGAGGCACCUUUAGCAGGCCAGUUUGUACGUACGGCAAGCACGUGUUCACCCACAAUACGACGUUCCCCUGCGUCAAGCAGCCGCCUGGCUGUCAGAAGGAUGCCUACUACGCCCUCCAUCACAUGUGGACGAUCGUACGGGACCAUAAUCACCUUCUGCUACCAAAUAAUCUCAAAGAUUGGGCCGCACGCUUGUCGGCAAUCCAGGAGGCGGACAUCAGACAAGAAUUCUUUCGCAUCCAGUCGGAGUUUGCGAAAAUCAUCCAUCAAGAUGUCAUUCGUACCUCGGGGCAGUUCUACCUCAGAUAUCAACCGUCCAACAGUGAGAUAGAAACAACACUACAAAUGCAGGCUGACAACGCCCACGAUUUCAUGACCAUCUGUAACGCCCGGAUAAUUAGGCUACAGUAAAACUCUCCUGAUGAUGCCAUGUCAUCUCUGUUACUGUUGCUAAUCAAGUGUUAGUUCAAAACAUUUCAAAUUCAAAAAAUGAAUUAGUGACAAACACCCAAAGUUUUCAAAAGUCAAAAUAAAAAUGUUCGGUGGGUGCCAAAUAUUGCACUGGUAAUUAUUGUGGAGAAAACAUUUUUUUAGAAAGUGCCUAAGUAUUUUAAAGUGAAAUAAAACAGAAAAGAGAAAUAAAGAAAAGAAAAGAAAAAGAACCCCCACUGGACCAGGCGGCCCAACUCACAGGCCACACCGGCCCACCUGGUGUUGGGGAACGUAGUAAUUUCAAAAAAAUUCUACGCACACGCAAGAUCAUGGUGAUGCAUAGCAACGAGAGGGGAGAGUGUUGUCCAUGUACCCUCGUAGACCGAUAGCGGAAGCGUUUAACACAACGCGGUUGAUGUAGUCGUACGUCUUCACGAUCCGAUCGAUCAAGUACCGAACGCACGGCACCUCCGAGUUCAGCACACGUUCAGCUCGAUGACGUCCCUCGAACUCCGAUCUAGCCGAGUGUUGAGGGAGAGUUUCGUCAGCACGACGGCGUGGUGACAAUGUUGAUGUUCUACCGACGCAGGGCUUCGCCUAAGCACCGCUACGAUAUUAUCGAGGUGUAAUAUGGUGGAGGGGGGCACCGCACACGGCUAAGAGAUCAAUGAUCAAUUGUGUGUCUAGAGGUGCCCCCCUGCCCCCGUAUAUAAAGGUGCAAGGGGGGGUUCGGCCGGCCUAAGGGAGAGGCGCGCCAGGAGGAGUCCUACUCCUACCGGGAGUAGGACUCCCCCCCUUUUCCAUGUUGGACUAGGAGAGAAAGGGGGAAAAGGUGGAGGGGAGGAAGGAAGGGGGGCGCCGCCCCCCUCUCCUUGUCCUAUUCGGACUGGGGGGGAGGGGCGCGCGGCCCUGCCCUGGCCUCCUCUCCUCUCAUCCACCUAGGCCCACUAAGGCCCAUUAAGUUACCGGGGGGUUUCGGUAACCUCCCGGUACUCCGGAAAAAUCCCGAUUUCACCCGGAACACUUCCGAUGUCCAAACAUAGGCUUCCAAUAUAUCAAUCUUUAUGUCUCGACCAUUUCGAGACUCCUCGUCAUGUCCGUGAUCACAUCCGGGACUCCGAACAACCUUCGGUACAUCAAAACAUAUAAACUCAUAAUAUAACUGUCAUCGUAACGUUAAGCGUGCGGACACUACGGGUUCGAGAACUAUGUAGACAUGACCGAGACACCUCUCCGGUCAAUAACCAAUAGCGAAACCUGGAUGCUCAUAUUGGUUCCCACAUAUUCUACGAAGAUCUUUAUCGGUCAGACCGCAUAACAACAUACGUUGUUCCCUUUGUCAUCGGUAUGUUACUUGCCCGAGAUUCGAUCGUCGGUAUCUCGAUACCUAGUUCAAUCUCAUUACCGGCAAGUCUCUUUACUCGUUCCGUAAUACAUCAUCCUGCAACUAACUCAUUAGUCACAAUUCUUGAAAGGCUUAUAGUGAUGUGUAUUACUGAGUGGGACCAGAGAUACCUCUCCGACAAUCGGAGUGACAAAUCCUAAUCUCGAAAUACGCCAACCCAACAAGUACCUUUGGAGACACCUGUAGAGCACCUUUAUAAUCACCCAGUUACGUUGUGACGUUUGGUAGCACACAAAGUGUUCCUCCGGUAAACGGGAGUUGCAUAAUCUCAUAGUCAUAGGAACAUGUAUAAGUCAUGAAGAAAGCAAUAGCAACAUACUAAACGAUCGAGUGCUAAGCUAACGGAAAGGGUAAAGUCAAUCACAUCAUUCUCCUAAUGAUGUGAUCCCGUUAAUCAAAUGACAACUCAUGUCUAUGGCUAGGAAACAUAACCAUCUUUGAUCAACGAGCUAGUCAAGUAGAGGCAUACUAGUGACACUCUGUUUGUCUAUGUAUUCACACAUGUAUUAUGUUUCCGGUUAAUACAAUUCUAGCAUGAAUAAUAAACAUUUAUCAUGAUAUAAGGAAAUAAAUAAUAACUUUAUUAUUGCCUCUAGGGCAUAUUUCCUUCAGUCUCCCACUUGCACUAGUGUCAAUAAUGUAGAUUACACAGUAAUGAUUCUUACACCCAUGGAGUCUUGGUGCUGAUCAUGAUUUGCUCGUGGAAGAGGCUUAGUCAACGGGUCUGCAACAUUCAGAUCCGUAUGUAUCUUGCAAAUUUCUAUGUCUCCCACCUGGACUAAAUCCCGGAUGGAAUUGAAGCGUCUUUUGAUGUGCUUGGUUCUCUUGUGUAAUCUGGAUUCCUUUGCUAAGGCAAUUGCACCAGUAUUGUCACAAAAUAUUUUCAUUGGUCCCAAUGCACUAGGUAUGACACCUAGAUCGGAUAUGAACUCCUUCAUCCAGACUCCUUCAUUUGCUGCUUCCGAAGCAGCUAUGUACUCCGCUUCACACGUAGAUCCCGCCACGACACUUUGUUUAGAACUACACGAACUGACAGCUCCACCGUUCAAUUUAAACAUGUAUCCGGUUUGCGAUUUAGAAUCGUCUGGAUCAGUGUCAAAGCUUGCAUCAACGUAACCAUUUACGAUGAGCUCUUUGUCACCUCCAUAAACGAGAAACAUAUCCUUAGUCCUUUUCAGGUACUUCAAGAUGUUCUUGACCACUGUCCAGUGAUCCACUCCUGGAUUACUUUGGUACCUCCCUGCUAAACUUAUAGCAAGGCACACAUCAGGUCUGGUACACAGCAUUGCAUACAUGAUAGAGCCUGUGGCUGAAGCAUAGGGAACAUCUUUCAUCUUCUCUCUAUCUUCUGCAGUGGUCGGGCAUUGAGUCUUACUCAAUUUCACACCUUGUAGUAUAGGCAAGAACCCUUUCUUUGCUUGAUCCAUUUUGAACUUCUUCAAAACUUUGUCAAGGUAUGUGCUUUGUGAAAGUCCAAUUAAGCGUCUUGAUCUAUCUCUAUAGAUCUUGAUGCCUAAUAUAUAUGCAGCUUCACCGAGGUCUUUCAUUGAAAAACUCUUAUUCAAGUAUCCCUUUAUGCUAUCCAGAAAUUCUAUAUCAUUUCCAAUUAGCAAUAUGUCAUCCACAUAUAAUAUCAGAAAUGCUACUGAGCUCCCACUCACUUUCUUGUAAAUACAGGCUUCUCCAAAAGUCUGUAUAAAACCAAAUGCUUUGAUCACACUAUCAAAGCGUUUACUCCAACUCCGAGAGGCUUGCACUAGUCCAUAAAUGGAUCGCUGGAGCUUGCACACUUUGUUAGCUCCCUUUGGAUCGAUAAAACCUUCCGGUUGCAUCAUAUACAACUCUUCUUCCAGAAAUCCAUUCAGGAACGCAGUUUUGACAUCCAUUUGCCAAAUUUCAUAAUCAUAAAAUGCGGCAAUUGCUAACAUGAUUCGGACAGACUUGAGCAUCGCUACGGGUGAGAAAUUCUCGUCGUAGUCAGUCCCUUGAACUUGUCGAAAACCUUUCGCAACAAGUCGAGCUUUAUAGACAGUAACAUUACCGUCAGCGUCAGUCUUCUUCUUGAAGAUCCAUUUAUUUUCAAUGGCUUGCCGAUCAUCGGGCAAGUCAACCAAAGUCCAUACUUUGUUCUCAUACAUGGAUCCCAUCUCGGAUUUCAUGGCCUCAAGCCAUUUUGCGGAAUCUGGGCUCACCAUCGCUUCUUCAUAGUUCAUAGGUUCGUCAUGGUCUAGUAACAUAACCUCCAGAACAGGAUUACCGUACCACUCUGGUGCGGAUCUUAAUCUGGUUGACCUACGAGGUUCAGUAAUAACUUGAUCUGAAGUUUCAUGAUCAUUAUCAUUAACUUCCCCGCUAAUUGGCGUAGGUGUCGCAGAAACUGGUUUCUGUGAUGAUCUACUUUCCAAUAAGGGAGCAGGUACAGUUACCUCAUCAAGUUCUACUUUCCUCCCACUCACUUCUUUCGAGAGAAACUCCUUCUCUAGAAAGGAUCCAUUCUUAGCAACGAAUGUCUUGCCUUCGGAUCUGUGAUAGAAGGUGUACCCAACAGUCUCCUUUGGGUAUCCUAUGAAGACACAUUUCUCCGAUUUAGGUUCGAGCUUAUCAGGUUGAAGUUUCUUCACAUAAGCAUCGCAACCCCAAACUUUAACAAACGGCAACUUUGGUUUCUUGCCAAACCAUAGUUCAUAAGGCGUCGUCUCAACGGAUUUCGAUGGUGCCCUAUUUAGAGUGAAUGCAGCCGUCUCUAAAGCAUAACCACAAAACGAUAGCGGUAAAUCAGUAAGAGACAUCAUAGAUCGCACCAUAUCUAGUAAAGUACGAUUACGACGUUCGGACACACCAUUACGUUGUGGUGUUUCGGGUGGCGUGAGUUGCGAAACUAUUCCGCAUUGUUUCAAAUGUAGGCCAAACUCGUAACUCAAAUAUUAUCCUCCACGAUCUGAUCGUAGAAAAUUUAUUUUCUUGUUACGAUGAUUUUCAACUUCGCUCUGAAAUUCUUUGAACUUUUCAAAUGUUCCAUACUUAUGUUUCAUUAAGUAGAUAUACCCAUAUCUGCUCAAAUCAUCUGUGAAGGUGAGAAAAUAACGAUAUCCGCCACGAGCCUCAAUAUUCAUUGGACCACAUACAUCUGUAUGUAUGAUUUACAACAAAUCAGUUGCUCUCUCCAAAGUUCCGGAGAACGGUGUUUUAGUCAUCUUGCCCAUGAGACACGGUUCGCAAGUACCAAGUGAUUCCAAAAGUCCAUCAUUAUGGAGUUUCUUCAUGCGCUUUACACCGAUAUGACCUAAACGGCAGUGCCACAAAUAAGUUGCACUAUCAUUAUCAACUCUGCAUCUUUUGGCUUCGACAUUAUGAAUAUGUGUGUCACUACUACCGAGAUUCAUUAAAAAUAGACCACUCUUCAAGGGUGCAUGACCAUAAAAGAUAUUACUCAUAUAAAUAGAACAACCAUUAGUCUCUGAUUUAAAUGAAUAACCGUCUCGCAUCAAACAAGAUCCAGAUAUAAUGUUCAUGCUCAACGCUGGCACCAAAUAAUAAUUAUUUAGGUCUAAUACUAAUCCCGAAGGUAGAUGUAGAGUUAGCGUGCCGACGGCGAUCACAUCGACUUUGGAACCGUUUCCCACACGCAUCGUCACCUCGUCCUUGGCCAGUGUUCGCUUAAUCCGUAGUCCCUGUUUCGAGUUGCAAAUAUUAGCAACAGAACCAGUAUCAAAUACCCAGGUGCUACUGCGAGCUCUGGUAAGGUACACAUCAAUAACAUGUAUAUCACAUAUACCUUUGUUCACCUUGCCAUCCUUCUUAUCCGUCAAAUACAUGGGGCAGUUUCGCUUCCAGUGACCAGUCUGCUUGCAGUAGAAGCACUCAGUCUCAGGCUUAGGUCCAGAUUUGGGUUUCUUCUCCUGAACAGCAACUUGCUUGCUGUUCUUCUUGAAGUUCCCCGUCUUCUUCCCUUUGCCCUUUUUCUUGAAACUAGUGGUCUUAUUGACCAUCAACACUUGAUGCUCCUUUUUGAUUUCUACCUCCGCUGCCUUUAGCAUUGCGAAGAGCUCGGGAAUUGUCUUGUUCAUCCCUUGCAUGUUAUAGUUCAUCACGAAGCUCUUGUAGCUUGGUGGCAGUGAUUGAAGAAUUCUGUCAAUGACGCUAUCAUCCGGAAGAUUAACUCCCAGUUGAAUCAAGUGAUUAUUAUACCCAGACAUUUUGAGUAUAUGCUCACUGACAGAACUAUUCUCUUCCAUCUUGCAGCUGUAGAACUUAUUGGAGACUUCAUAUCUCUCAAUCCGGGCAUUUGCUUGAAAUAUUAACUUCAACUCCUGGAACAUCUCAUAUGCUCCAUGACGUUCAAAACGUCGUUGAAGACCCGGUUCUAAGCCGUAAAGCAUGGCACACUGAACUAUCGAGUAGUCAUCAGCUUUGCUCUGCCAGACGUUCAUAACUUCUGGUGUUGCUCUUGCAGCAGGCCUGACACCCAGCGGUGUUUCCAGGACGUAAUUCUUCUGUGCAGCAAUGAGGAUAAUCCUCAAGUUACGGACCCAGUCCGUGUAAUUGCUACCAUCAUCUUUCAACUUUGCUUUCUCAAGGAACGCAUUAAAAUUCAUCGGAACAACAGCACGGGCCAUCUAUCUACAAUUAACAUAGACAAGCAAGAUACUAUCAGGUACUAAGUUCAUGAUAAAUUUAAGUUCUAUUAAUCAUAUUACUUAAGAACUCCCACUUAGAUAGACAUCCCUCUAAUCAUCUAAGUGAUUACGUGAUCCAAACCAACUAAACCAUAACCGAUCAUCACGUGAAAUGGAGUAGUUUUCAAUGGUGAACAUCACUAUGUUGAUCAUAUCUACUAUAUGAUUCACGCUCGACCUUUCGGUCUCUGUGUUCCGAGGCCAUAUCUGCAUAUGCUAGGCUCGUCAAGUUUAACCUGACUAUUCCACGUGUGCAACUGUUUUGCACCCGUUGUAUUUGAACGUAGAGCCUAUCACACCCGAUCAUCACGUGGUGUCUCAGCGCGAAGAACUUUCGCAACGGUGCAUACUCAGGGAGAACACUUUUAUCUUGAAUGUUUAGUGAGAGAUCAUCUUAUAAUGCUACCGUCAAUCAAAGCAAGAUAAGAUGCAUAAAAGAUAAACAUCACAUGCAAUCAAUAUAAGUGAUAUGAUAUGGCCAUCAUCAUCUUGUGCUUGUGAUCUCCAUCUCCGAAGCACUGUCAUGAUCACCAUCGUCACCGGCGCGACACCUUGAUCUCCAUCGUAGCAUCGUUGUCGUCACGCCAACUAUUGCUUUUACGACUAUCGCUACCGCUUAGUGAUAAAGUAAAACAAUUACAUGGCGAUUGCAUUGCAUACAAUAAAGCGACAACCAUAUGGCUCCUGCCAGUUGCCGAUAACUAGGUUACAAAACAUGAUCAUCUCAUACAAUAAAAUAUAGCAUCACGUCUUGACCAUAACACAUCACAACAUGCCCUGCAAAAACAAGUUAGACGUCCUCUACUUUGUUGUUGCAAGUUUUACGUGGCUGCUACGGGCUUAGCAAGAACCGUUCUUACCUACGCAUCAAAACCACAACGAUAGUUUGUCAAGUUGGUGCUGUUUUAACCUUCGCAAGGACCGGGCGUAGCCACACUCGGUUCAACUAAAGUGAGAGAGACAGACACCCGCCAGUCACCUUUAAGCAACGAGUGCUCGCAACGGUGAAACCAGUCUCGCGUAAGCGUACGCGUAAUGUCGGUCCGGGCCGCUUCAUCUCACAAUACCGCCGAACCAAAGUAUGACAUGCUGGUAAGCAGUAUGACUUAUAUCGCCCACAACUCACUUGUGUUCUACUCGUGCAUAUAACAUCAACGCAUAAAACCAGGCUCGGAUGCCACUGUUGGGGAACGUAGUAAUUUCAAAAAAUUUCUACGCACACGCAAGAUCAUGGUGAUGCAUAGCAACGAGAGGGGAGAGUGUUGUCCACGUACCCUCGUAGACCAAUAGCGGAAGCGUUUAACACAACGCGGUUGAUGUAGUCGUACGUCUUCACGAUCCGACCGAUCAAGUACCGAACACACGGCACCUCCGAGAUUAGCACACGUUUAGCUCGAUGACGUCCCUCGAACUCCGAUCCAGCCGAGUGUUGAGGGAGAGUUUCGUCAGCAUGACGGCGUGGUGACAAUGUUGAUGUUCUACCGACGCAGGGCUUCGCCUAAGCACCGCUACGAUAUUAUCGAGGUGUAAUAUGGUGGAGGGGGGCACCGCACACGGCUAAGAGAUCAAUGAUCAAUUGUGUGUCUAGAGGUGCCCCCUGCCCCCGUAUAUAAAGGUGCAAGGGGGGUUCGGCCGGCCUAAGGGAGAGGCGCGCCAGGAGGAGUCCUACUCCUACCGGGAGUAGGACUCCCCCCCUUUUCCAUGUUGGACUAGGAGAGAAAGGGGGAAAAGGUGGAGGGGAGGAAGGAAGGGGGGCGCCGCCCACCUCUCCUUGUCCUAUUCGGACUGGGGGGAAGGGGCGCGCGGCCCUCCCCUGGCCUCCUCUCCUCUCUUCCACCUAGGCCCACUAAGGCCCAUUAAGUUACCGGGGGGUUCCGGUAACCUCCCGGUACUCCGAAAAAUCCCGAUUUCACCCGGUAACUUCCGAUGUCCAAACAUAGGCUUCCAAUAUAUCAAUCUUUAUGUCUCGAUCAUUUCGAGACUCCUCGUCAUGUCCGUGAUCACAUCCGGGACUCCGAACAACCUUCGGUACAUCAAAACAUAUAAACUCAUAAUAUAACUAUCAUCGUAACGUUAAGCGUGCGGACCCUACGGGUUCGAGAACUAUGUAGACAUGACCGGGACACCUCUCCGGUCAAUAACCAAUAGCGGAACCUGGAUGCUCAUAUUGGUUCCCACAUAUUCUACGAAGAUCUUUACCGGUCAGACCGCAUAACAACAUACGUUGUUCCCUUUGUCAUUGGUAUGUUACUUGCCCGAGAUUCGAUCGUCGGUAUCUCGAUACCUAGUUCAAUCUCGUUACCGGCAAGUCUCUUUACUCAUUCCGUAAUACAUCAUCCCGCAACUAACUCAUUAGUCACAAUGCUUGCAAGGCUUAUAGUGAUGUGUAAUACUGAGUGGGCCCAGAGAUACCUCUCGGACAAUCGAAGUGACAAAUCCUAAUCUCGAAAUACGCCAACCCAACAAGUACCUUUGGAGACACCUGUAGAGCACCUUUAUAAUCACCCAGUUACGUUGUGACGUUUGGUAGCACACAAAGUGUUCCUCCGGUAAACGGGAGUUGCAUAAUCGCAUAGUCAUAGGAACAUGUAUAAGUCAUGAAGAAAGCAAUAGCAACAUACUAAACGAUCGAGUGCUAAGCUAACGGAAUGGGUCAAGUCAAUCACAUCAUUCUCCUAAUGAUGUGAUCCCGUUAAUCAAAUGACAACUCAUGUCUAUGGCUAGGAAACAUAACCAUCUUUGAUCAACGAGCUAGUCAAGUAGGGGCAUACUAGUGACACUCUGUUUGUCUAUGUAUUCACACAUGUAUUAUGUUUCCGGUUAAUACAAUUCUAGCAUGAAUAAUAAAAAUUUAUCAUGAUAUAAGGAAAUAAAUAAUAACUUUAUUAUUGCCUCUAGGGCAUAUUUCCUUCACCUGGCCCAGCUUGCCAACCGCCGGCCCAGCCCACCUACCUCGUCUCCCUUCCCUGUUCCCCCGACCCGGGUCGGAACAGGGGCGCAUCGCCACCGGACCCCUCCUCGAUCCCGCCUCCCACUCACCCCCACUCUUGCCCUCGGUUCCUGCGCCUUUCCCUCUCCCCUCAGAUCCACCUCGCCACUCCCCCUCGUUCCCCCACCGCAACCGAGCGCCGCCAUGGCCUCGCGGCCUUAGAACUCGCGGCCACCGCGACCUCCGCGCCUCUCCGACGUGUCCGCUCGCUGCGCCUCCCUCGACUACGCCUCCCCGUCAAGCCGCAGGACGCCGGGCACCCUCGAACGCUGCCCCGGCCUCGUCUUCUUCCUCGGAUCCCCGACGCGUCUCCGACGAGCGCCGUCGACUCUGCAGCUCCUAAACCCCCCAAGGACCUUUCGUGUGUGCCGCUCGGUGAGCUCCACCCCUCCUGCUCUCCGUUUGCUCUCUCGCACGCCCUAGCUAGCUGUCGCCGAAGCGCCCGAACGCAGUGCCGCGGAGCUCGUCGCCGACGAGUCUCCGGUGACCAAAUGGUCACGUGCGUGUUGCCAUUGAACUCGCCGCGUCGAGUAGGGCCCGACUAGCCCUCCCGUUUGCCCAAUAGCGCGCCACAUCGCCGUUGCCGUUGCUCGCCCGAAACACCCGGCCGCCGGCGAUGUCGUACUGCUCGUCUCUAGCCACCCCCGUGCCUGCGACCACCUCCACUCGACGCGCGCUGUCGUGUGCGUUCGAACACACACAACCGCGCGUAAAACCGUGCCCCAUACCACCAUUUGCCCUCACGCCCGACUCCGGCCGUCCGCCGAUGUGCUCGCCGCCGUCGCUUCCGGCCACCUCCGGCCACGCCACCGCUAGACGCGGGGCACUCUCCUCGUUCGAACGCAAGAGACGGCGCUCGUUUUGGUGCCCCGUAGGCGAAACCCGACGCUCGCCGGCGUUCGGCCGCUGCGCGCGAGCUCGCCGGAGCUACUCCGGCGGCUCCGCUGAGCUGGCACACCUGGGUCACCCCUGGGUCACUGCCUGGUGGCCCCGUGGGCCCGGCUGGCCCAGUUGACCAGGGCCAACGUGCUGACUGGGCUGGUCCCAGAAGCUGACCAGUGGCCCCCACACUAUAAACUAUUUAAUUAGUUAAUCUAAUUAAUCUGGGCUAAUUAGUCACUGACUAAUGGGGCCCGCACUUAGUUAAUCAUAGUUAGUUUAAAACAAAUCCAUUUCAGCUCUAGCUCAAUGACAGGUGGGUCCCAUAGGACCCACAAGUCUGUUUUAACUCCAUUCAACCGCACUGUUGACUGCUAACAUCACACAUACGUCAUGCUGACGUCAUCCAUACUGUUCUGGAUAAUUUUGGAUUUAAAUAAAUAAUUAAAAUCAGAAAAUGAUUAAAACUUUAGAAAAUCAUAUAAAAUAAUCCGUAACUCGGAUGAAAAUACUUUCUACAUGAAAGUUGCUCAGAACGACGAGACGAAUCCGGAUACGCAGCCCGUUCGUCCGCCACACAUCCCUAACAUAUCAAGCUUGCAACCAUCCCCCUCCGGUUCAUCUGUCCGAAAAGGCGAAACACCGGGAAUACUUUCUCGGAUGUUUCCCCCCUUUGCCGGAAUCACCUAGUACCGCGUUUGGGCACACCUAGCCUCACGCUUUGUCAUGUCAUGCAUCGUUAUGCAUAUGUUUGCAUUGUAUUCAUUGUUUCUCCCCCUCUUCUCUCCGGUAGACUACGAGACCGACGCCGCUACUGGUGCCCCGACCGACUACGCUGUUGACGACCCCUCCUUCUUGCCAGAGCAAUCAGGCAAGCCCCCCCCUUGAUCACCAGAUAUCGCCUAUUCUUCUAUACUGCUUGCAUUAGAGUAGUGUAGCAUGUUACUGCUUUCGGUUAAUCCUAUUCUGUUGCAUAGCCUGUCAUUGUUGCUACAGUUGUUACCCUUACCUGCUAUCCUACUGCUUAGUAUAGGAUGCUAGUGUUCCAUCAGUGGCCCUACACUCUUGUCCGUCUGCCAUGCUAUACUACUGGGCCGUGAUCACUUCGGGAGGUGAUCGCGGGUAUAUACUAUAUACUUUAUAUACAUGACACAUGUGGUGACUAAAGUCGGGUCGGCUCGUGGAGUACCCGCAAGUGAUUCUGAUGAGGGGGCUGAAAGGACAGGUGGCUCCAUCCCAGUAGAGGUGGGCCUAGGUUCCUGACGGCCCCCGACUAUUACUUUGUGGGCGGUGUGGGUAUUUCCUCCCUCCCUUGUGCGGUAGGGGUGGCACGGGUCACGACUGUCCGGUAGAUGCGUGAUGCUAGGUGUGGGGAUCCUAUGGUCCAAAUGGUAUAUAUGGAUAAGAAAUUUCCUUUACAGUACACUCUUUCACUUUGGUCUAAAUUAAUUCCUUUGUUUGGGAAGAGCCCUAAACUGAUAGACCUCCUUUCAGCGACUACCUGCGCGAUUGUAUUGAAGCGCAUGCCUCAAAAAAGUACCGUCUGAAGGGAGAUAAGGUUUUGUGUAAGCUUCUUAGCUCAUCUUUGUUCAAUACUUCUCCUAUCGAGCCAUGUUUGGAUACUGACGGUUCAAAGAGUACGAUCGAUUGGUUCUUGCGUUUGUUAUACAUGUGAAGUUAAUACAGAUAUGAUGUUUCUAUGUUUCGUAUGCACUCGCACUCUUGCGACUAGUUUACUUUACAUGAUAUUGAUAACACUACUUUCUUGAAGUUAGUUUAGAUAAAAUUAAUUAAAAAAUACUAAUUAUUUCAACAAUUCAUUAGUUCUGAUACCAUACCGAAUUUCACGCAUAAAUUGACCAGUUAAUCCAAAAGCGAGCAAUGUCUAUUAGAGAAGAGGAGCACCAAUUUUGCAAGAACGAGUAACAACUAAAUUAGGGCGUGGCUACAUGCCAUUCGCCUGAAAAAAAUCAGCACUACUAGGAAAAGGGCUAUAGCUAAUAUGGACAUUAAUGGCGCACCAUGUAUGUGGUGCGCCACUGCUAUAUAGCAGUGGCGCACCAGAUACAGGUGCGCCAUUAGUGUCCUCAUUACUAAUGCCGCACCAGACACAGGGUGCGCCAUUACUAACAAUUUUUUUAUUUUUCCAAAACUAUUAAUGGCGCACCAUGGCACAGUGCGCCAUUACUAGUUUUAACUAGUAAUGGCGCACCACACACUCUGUGCGCCACUACUAACAAAUUUUUGUACUUUUUUUUUCAAAACUAGUAAUGGCGCACUUGGGUACAGUGCGCCAUUACAAGUUCAAACUAGUAAUAGCGCACCACAUCCACGGUGCGCCACUACUAACAUUUUUUUUUGCAAAACUAGUAAUGGCGCACCACGUAACAGGUGCGUCAUUAGUAACCAGGGUUACUAAUGGUGCAUUUUUAGGUGGUGCGCCAUUAGUAACCUGAGACCAGCUAGAUAUUUUGGACAGCCACCUACCACACUCACUUUCCUCACUUCAUUCUCUCCACCUCCUCCUCCAAGCUUGUCUCGUCUGCCUCCUCCUCCUCACCUCAUUUGCACCAUAGAUUCACCCAAAUUAAGUGGUUAAAUUACCUUUUUUGAUAGGUAAGUAAGGGGAAAGCUUUCUUUAUAUUGUAGAUCUACUUUUUUCUCCCUCCAACAACGUGCACAUGCAAUUUUUAUGGCCUAGCUAGAUCUACGUAUGUUUGUGGUGUUGCCUAUAUGUUUGUGUUUGCAGGUACCGGUAUUUGAAAUGCGAUAGUUGCCAAUAUUUUGCCGGAAUGUUGAUUCAUUUCCGUUUCGGCGAGAAUUUGGCACUAUGCAUUCUUUUUGGUCCUAUUUUUAGGCAAAGUCAUGCCAAAUUUUUUCUUGGUUCUAAAAUAUCGUUUUGCUCUACCCCGCAGGCGACCAUGGUCCGCACGAUGACCGAAGGCAUCAUGAAUAGGUUUUUGAGCUCCGCGAAGGCCGAGAUGCUUCAAAAGAACGAGACGGAGAUCAGACGUCCGUGUCGAAGAUGCAAGCUGAAGAGCCUUAUUACGGACCCGGAUUCCGGACACGUGCGGGACCACCUGCUCUUGCGUGGUUUCAUGGACGGCUAUCGGUGGCAAGGUGAUGAAGAUGACUAUGAAGUCGUCCAUGGGGGCCGGGCAAGAAAUGAGGAAGGUUAGCAAGACAACUACCGCGGCGAGGGCGGGCGAGAAGACGAAGAAUCUCGAGGACAUGAUCACGACGGCGAUGCAAUACACAGUCAUCAUGUAGAAGAUGCCGGACAUGAUGAUGAGGAAGAUCAAGACGAAGGGCAUGAUCAUGAAGCUGAAGAUGCCGGAGCAGACGACGAUGGACCAUCGAUGGGCUGGGUGCAGGACCCUCAUAUUCAAGAGCUGCUUCUCAAGCAGACGGAUAACGCAAGAGCUGCCGCCCGAGAGAAAGCCAAGCUGGAUCAACUGGAGAUAGACGCGGUUACUCCAUUGUAUGAAGGAUGCAGGCCCGAGGAUACCCGCCUGAAAGUAACGCUCAUGGCUCUGGAGAUGAAGGUAAAACACAAAAUGACCGACGCAUGCUUCGACGAGAACAUGUUAUUCUGGCACGAACGUCUUCCCAAGGGGAACAAGUGCCCGACCAGUUUCGAGGAGGCGAAGAAAAUCGUGUGUCCUCUGGAUUUACCGCACGUGAAAUACCAUGUGUGCAUGAACAAUUGCAUCAUUUAUCGGGACGAGCACGCGGAGUCUACCAUAUGUCCGGUGUGCGACGUCACUCGAUACAAGAAGAGGAAGAAAGCUCCUCGAAAAGUGGUGUGGUACUUUCCGAUCACUCCUCGUCUGCAGCGGUAUUUCGCGGACCCUAAGCUAGCAAAGCUCCUGCGUUGGCACGCGGAUAGGGAGGAGAAGAAGCGAGAAGAUGAUGAAAAUGAUCCGGAGAUAAAUAAAAAAGACAAGAUGCCGAGUCACCCUAAGGAUGCGAGCGAGUGGCGGGUAGGCCGAUGCUACCAACUAAUCUGCUCAAUACUGCAACCGGUGCUAUGCGGAGUCUGCAUGAUAGUGUUCUUUCUUUGGAGAAGCGGCGUCUCUCCGAGAAUGAUGUGGCAUACCCGGUUUUCGUGGCCAAGGUGCCAGAGGGUAAGGGCUUUGUGGAUAGCGCCAUCGGGGGUACGAUCGUCCUGUGGUUUGAUGACAUCUUCGCUAUGUUUAACCUUCAUCCGCUGCACUACACCUUCGUUUGGCUAUUUUCGCUGAGUAUGGAGAUGCAGAUCAUUAGAGACAAGACCCCGGACAUCGUGAUAGUCGACCCCUUCUACAUGCGUGCAAAGAUCUUGGGCAGCGCUGGGGACCGGCAAGUCGCGAGUUCAUACCUCGAAGGCGUCAUUCUAGACAACCCAGAUAAGGAUAACUUCCUUGUGCCUUACUUUCCCGAGUAAGUCAUCCCCUCACCGCCCCAUAACAUAUGAUUUCUUAGAUUUCGAUUGUUCUUUUUUUCCUAACAUUCCGUGUUUUGUGCAGUGACACACAUUGCACACUCAUCCUCUUAAGCCCGAAAUAUUCCAUGGCCACGUAUUUCGACUCGGACCGUCAGUCGAAGAAAGACUACACAAAUAUCAAGAAAGUUCUUGAUGAUGUUCUCCCCGGCUACGCCAGAUCUGGAGGCACCUUCAGCAGGCCAGUUCGUAGGUACGGCAAGCACGUGUUCACCCACAAUACGACGUUCCCCUAUGUCAAGCAGCCGCCUGGCGGUCAGAAGGAUGCCUACUACGCCCUCCAUCACAUGCGGGCGAUCGUACGGGACCAUAAUCACCUUCUGCUACCAAAUAAUCUCAAAGAUUGGGCCGCACGUUUGUCGGCAAUCCAGGAGGCAGACAUCAGACAAGAAUUCUUUCGCAUCCAGUCGGAGUUUGCGAAAAUCAUCCAUCAAGAUGUCAUUCGUACCUCGGGGCAGUUCUACCUCAGAUAUCAACCGUCCAACAGUGAGAUAGAAACAACACUACAAAUGCAGGCUGACAACGCCCGCGAUUUCAUGACCAUCUGUAACGCCCGGAUAAUUAGGCUACAAUAAAACUCUCCUGAUGAUGCCAUGUCAUCUCUGUUACUGUUGCUAAUCAAGUGUUAGUUCAAAACAUUUCAAAUUCAAAAAAAUGAAUUAGUGACAAACACCCAGAGCUUUCAAAAGUCAAAAUAAAAAUGUUCGGUGGGUGCCAAAUAUUGCACUGGUAAUUAUUGUGGAGAAAACAUUUUUUUAGAAAGUGCCUAAGUAUUUUAUAGUGAAAUAAAACAGAAAAGAAAAAUAAAGAAAAGAAAAGAAAAAGAACCCCCCCAUUAGACCAGGCGGCCCAGCUCACAGGCCACACCGGCCCACCUGGCCCAGCUUGCCAACCGCCGGCCCAGCCCCCCUACCUCGUCUCCCUUCCCUGUUCCCCCGACCCGGGUCGGAACAGGGGCGCGUCACCACCGGACCCCCCUCGCCGGCGUCGAGGAGAGGAUAAGGCCGCCACGCCCCCACCUCCUUGAUCCCGCCUCCCACUCGCCCCCUACUCUUGCCCUCGGUUCCUGCGCCUCUCCCUCUCCCCUCAGAUCCACCUCGCCACUCCCCCUCGUUCCCCCACCGCAACCGAGCACCGCCAUGGCCUCGCGGCCGUAGAACUCGCGGCCACCGCAACCUCCGCUCCUCUCCGACGUGUCCGCUCGCUCCGCCUCCCUCGACUACGCCUCACCGUCAAGCCGCAGGAUGCCGGGCACCCUCGAACGCUGCCCCGGCCUCGUCUUCUUCCUCGGAUCCCCGGCGCGUCUCCGACGAGCGCAGUCGACUCUGCAGCUCCUAAACCCCCCAAGGACCUUUCGUGUGUGCCGCUCGGUGAGCUCCACCCCUCCUGCUCUCCGUUUGCUCUCUCGCACGCCCUAGCUAGCUGUCGCCGAAGCGCCCGAACGCAGCGCCGCGGAGCUCAUCGCCGACGAGUCUCCGGUGACCAAAUGGUCACGGGCGUGUUGCCAUUGAACUCGCUGCGUCGAGUAGGGCCCGACUAGCCCUCCCGUUUGCCCAAUAGCGCGCCACAUCGCCGUUGCCGUUGCUCGCCCGAAACACCCCGCCGCCGGCGACGUCGUACUGCUCGUCUCCAGCCACCCCCGUGUCUGCGACCACCGCCACUCGACGCGCGCUGUCGUGUGCGUUCGAACACACCCAACCGCGCAUAAAACCGUGCCCCAUACCACCAUUUGCCCUCACGCCCGACUCCGGCCGUCCGCCGAUGUGCUCGCCGCCGUCGCUUCCGGCCACCUCCGGCCACGCCACCGCCACCACUAGACGCGGGGCACUCUCCUCGUUCGAACGCAAGAGUAGGCGCUCGUUUUGGUGCCCCGUAGGCGAAACCCGACGUUCACCGGCGUUCGGCCGCUGCGCGCGAGCUCGCUGGAGCUACUCCGGCGGCUCCGCUGAGGUGGCACACCUGGGGCCACCCCUGGGUCACUGCCUGGUGGCCCCGUGGGCCCGGCUGGCCCAAUUGACGAGGGUCAACGUGCUGACUGGGCUGGUCCCAGCAGCUGACCAGUGGCCCCCACACUAUAAACUAAUUAAUUAGUUAAUCUAAUUAAUCUGGGCUAAUUAGUCACUGACUAAUGGGGCCCGCACUUAGUUAAUCAUAGUUAGUUUAAAACAAAUCCAUUUCAGCUCUGGCUCAAUGACAGGUCGGUCCCACUGGACCCACAAGUCAGUUUUGACUCCAGUCAACCGCACUGUUGUCUGGUGACAUCACACAUACGUCAUGCUGACGUCAUCCCAUACUGUUCUGGAUAAUGUUGGAUUUAAAUAAAUAAUUAAAAUCAGAAAAUGAUUAAAACUUUAGAAAAUCAUAUAAAAUAAUCUGUAACUCGGAUGAAAAUACUUUCUACAUGAAAGUUGCUCAGAACGAUGAGAUGAAUCCGGAUAAGCAGCCCGUUCGUCCACCACACAUCCCUAACAUAUCGAACUCGCAACUUCCCCCUCCGGUUCAUUUGUCCGAAAACGCGAAACACCGGGAAUACUUUCCCGGAUGUUUCCCCCCUUUGCCGGAAUCACCUAGUACCGCGUUUGGGCACACCUAGCCUCACGCUUUGUCAUGUCAUGCAUCGUUAUGCAUCUGUUUGCAUUGUAUUCAUUGUUUCUUCCCCCUCUUCUCUCCGGUAGACUACGAGACCGACGCCGCUGCUGGUGCCCCGACCGACUACGCUGUUGACGACCCCUCCUUCUUGCCAGAGCAAUCAGGCAAGCCCCCCCUUGAUCACCAGAUAUCGCCUAUUCUUCUCUAUACUGCUUGCAUUAGAGUAGUGUAGCAUGUUACUGCUUUCCGUUAAUCCUAUCCUGAUGCAUAGCCUGUCCUUGCUACUACUGUUGUUACCUUUACCUGCAAUCCUACAUGCUUAGUAUAGGAUGCUAGUAUUCCAUCUGUGGCCCUACAUUCUUGUCCGUCUGCCUUGCUAUACUAUCGGGCCGUGAUCACUCGGGAGGUGAUCAAGGGUAUAUACUUAUAUACUCUAUACAUGAUACCUGUGGUGACUAAAGUCGGGUCGGCUCGUAGGAGUACCCGCGAGUGGAUCUUGUGGCGGAGCGACAGGGCAGGUUGAGGCCACCUAGGAGAGAGGUGGGCCUGGCCCUGGACGGCGUCCGCGGUUACUUCAAAAUAACACGCUUAACGAGUUCUUGGUAUUUCAUCUGAGUCUGGCCAUUUGGUCUGUACGCACUAACCAACUAUGCGGGAACAGUUAUGGGCACUCGACAUCGUGGUAUCAGCCGAAGCCUUCAUGACGUCAGCGACUGAGCGGCGCGCGCCGCAUUGGACCGUAAGCUCGCGCUUGUAUUAAGGGGGCUAGGUCUGCUUCCGGCCGCGUACGCAACGUGCAGGUGUGCAAUGGGCGAUGGGCCCAGACCCCUGCGCGCAUAGGAUUUAGACCGGCGUGCUGACCUCUCUGUUGUGCCUAGGUAGGGCUGCGACAUGUUGAUCUUCCGCGGCCAGGCAUGACCCGGAAAAGUGUGUCCGGCCAAAUGGGAUCGAGCGUGUUGGGUUAUGUGGUGCACCCCUGCAGGGAAGUUUAUCUACUCGAAUAGCCGUGUCCCUCGGUAAAAGGACGACCCGGAGUUGUACCUUGACCUUAUGACAACUAGAACCGGAUACUUAAUAAAACACGCCCUUCCAAGUGCCAGAUAUAACCCGGUGAUCGCUCUCUAACAGGGCGACGAGGAGGGGAUCGCUGGGUAGGAUUAUGCUAUGCGAUGCUACUUGGAGGACUUCAAUCUACUCUCUUCUACAUGCUGCAAGAUGGAGGCUGCCAGAAGCGUAGUCUUCGACAGGAUUAGCUAUCCCCUCUUAUUCUGGCAUUCUGCUGUUCAGUCCACCGAUAUGGCCCUUUACACAUAUACCCAUGCAUAUGUAGUGUAGCUCCUUGCUUGCGAGUACUUUGGAUGAGUACUCACGGUUGCUUUUCUCCCUCUUUUCCCCCUUUCCUUUCUACCUGGUUGUCGCAACCAGAUGCUGGAGCCCAGGAGCCAGACGCCACUGUCGACGACGACUCCUACUACUCCGGAGGUGCCUACUACUACGUGCAGCCCGCUGACGACGACCAGGAGUAGUUAGGAGGAUCCCAGGCAGGAGGCAUGCGCCUCUUUCGAUUUGUAUCCCCGUUUGUGCUAGCCUUCUUAAGGCAAACUUGUUUAACUUAUGUCUGUACUCAGAUAUUGUUGCUUCCGCUGACUCGUCUAUGAUCGAGCACUUGUAUUCGAGCCCUCGAGGCCCCUGGCUUGUAUUAUGAUGCUUGUAUGACUUAUUUAUGUUUUAGAGUUGUGUUGUGAUAUCUUCCCAUGAGUCCCUGAUCUUGAUCGUACACGUUUGCGUGCAUGAUUAGUGUACAAUUGAAUCGGGGGCGUCACACCAUCACAACAGACGACGGCUUCAUCCACGCUCCGGUCCCUGAGUCGAGUCGAAAGUAGUGAUGCUAUGUAGUUCUGAAAUAUCGAUUAGCUCAUGUUGUAAUUAAACUUUAAUGAACUUGUAUGUCUCUUUGGUUUGGACAGUCGCUCAACUUAUAUGUAAACGAUGGUAUUUAUUAGUAGGACCAUGAAUCGUGCUAUUAAUGUCUUGCUUUUCUCUUCCGAUCCUUUUGUUGGAUACUUAUAUAUUGCUUAUGUAUUGUCUGUGAAUUGCUACUAACGUUUUGUUUGGCUAGUGCAUAGAGAUGCCGUCGUAUGUCGUGUACAAGGGUAAGGUUCCCGGAGUCUACGAUGACUGGGAGGAGUGUCGGAGACAGGUUUACCGUUUCAGCGGUAACAGUUACAAAGGGUACACCACUAGGGCGGAGGCGGAAGCUAGAUACGCACGCUAUCUAGUGGGAGAGAGGAGGGAGCGGAGGAGGAACCGGAUGAAGACCAGUUUCAUCGCGAUGAUGCUAAUCGUGAUGACCGUAGCUCUCUUCUAUGUGAUGGUAGUUUAGAUGAUCGAUAUCGACUUGUAAUGAGAAGACAAACUCGCUACUCGCGGUCUCGAGACUUGUAAUGUUCUAACUUUGUUUGGUCUUUUGAAUUCGAAGACUAAUAUGAUGAAUUGUAUUCGGAGACUAAUCUUCUAUUGUAUUCGAUAAAUCUGUUGUUUAUAUGCUGUGCUAUCUAUAUUCUAUGCAGUAAUAUAUAUCUUGUAACAUGUGCAAAUAUUAGAAAAGAAAAAAAUAAUAAUUCCUAAUAUUCAUACUAGUGGCGCACCACACAACACUUUAGUGGCGCACUGCAAUAAACACACUAGUGGCGCACUAUCUAGUAAUGCGCCAUUAGUAACCCCGAGCACAAGGUAAAUAUGGCCCCUUAGGAGGCAUAGUAAUGGCGCACCGUCUGACAUACUAAUGGCGCACUCCCUGAUGCGUCACUACUGUCUGGUGCGCCAUUAGUAUUAGUUACUAGUGCCGUGAUGAUAGUGGCGCACCUGUAGCGCGUCAUUAAUGGCCAAAACAGGUGCGCCACUAAUUAGCCUUUUCUUAGUAGCGCAGGGUCAAUCGAUUUCUUCAACCGCCUGAAAAAAAUAUCUUCCACAGCUGUUCACAGCAAAUGGUCGUAAGAGUGGGGGUGGGGGGAGCAGAUUUACAACAUACACUCAUGCUGGUCCCCGUCUUGCAUGCCACAGCCAGACGACGAUGACACUCACGGACCGGGUCGACGAUGACACUCUCGUCGUGCAUGCCACAUCCGCCUAGACAGCCAGCUCGGCCGCGUGGAUCUUUACACGAACCUGCCCCGGUACCACGCAUGGCCGGCGCAGGACAAUGCAUGUAAGUUUGAUGUGGUAACUGGAGACCGCCAUACCGAGCGAGUACGUGACACGGCUUGCUUGGGUUAUAGCACGGUUUGGACUGAUGAAUGAGUAUUGAGUUGCCGGUUCCACUUCCAGCUCGUGCAGAUCUGUGACAGGCACGGCUGAGGAAGGUUGUUGUGCCCAUAUAAUUUGGGAGCUGGUACAAUUAUACGGCUGCUGAUGAUGAUUAACACGGUGCAAGGCCCACGAAUGAAUGAACGUCGCCAUUGUGCACACACACGUACAUGCAUCGCCUUGCAUGGCCCCGGCCGGAGCCGGACGCGCUCAGUUAAGGCGUGCGGCGGAGCGCAUCCCAUGCUCUAGGUCGGAAAUCAAGUCCGCAACGCCAGGCUUGUUUAAUGGCGACUGAAGAAGCAGUCGUACGCGUUGCCUUUCUACUCCACUUGAAUUCGCUACACCGGCCCGCCCGAUCGAUCUACUCCAUGCUCGAAGUCGCCAUUGGCCGCUAGCCCUCUAGGCUCUAGCUAGUAGCUACCGUCUAGCUAGAUCUCCCUGGCUCUCGCUGUGCCGAUCGAGCGAGCUGGCGCACGUACGGCCGAUCAAAUUGAUCUGCAACCCUCUUCAUGGCGUUCUACCAGCCACUGCGUGCGCGGGCCACAAAUCCCGAAAUAUCUUGGCCUCACACGACAGGCACGUUGUGGAGUAGGGACGCCGGGGAACGGGAGGGGAGUUUUGAAUAUCCGACAAGGGUCUGGAUUUUGUAAAUGUUCUCGCUCUGUGUAGGCGCCGUGGUGAUCUAGAGGACAAUACUGUGCCUCCCACACGUCCGGCCGGUACUGCAAUUUGUUCCACAACAGGUUUUGCACGGAUGAGGAGAUAUGAAUAGAUCACCCGCCUACAAAUGUGCGAGCGUCGCCUCAUAUAGCUCGAAAGCCUGGCCAAUUCCUGGGACUACUCCUCCGUCCCUACUCCCCAUAUUAGUUUUGUCUUAUGUCAAACUUUCUAAAGAUUGAUCGAGUUUAUACGAAAAAAUUAUCAACACUUGCAGUACCAAAUCAAUAUCAUUUGAUCCAUCAUAGAAUAAUUUUUCAUAUUGUAUUUACCUAGUAUUAUAAAUGUUUGUAUUCUUUUCUAAAAACUUAGUCAAAGUUUACAACGUUUGACUUAAGACAAACCUAAUAUGCAGAUUUACUUGUCGCUCAAAUAGAUGUAUCUAACACUAAAUUACGUCUAGUUUUUGGUGUAUUUUUUUUACUUGCAUGCAGUUUCCGCUGAAAAAUCUAUGUCGUGCAAUUAGGUCUGGAACCGACUAAUAAGGAAUUCCCUGAAGUUCUAAUUAGGCUAGUCACUGUUUUUGCCGUGUCCAACAGAGAUAGCUCAGUUGCACGGUGAGAAACAAAGGAAGAAAGGACGCGUUCGUGGAGGUGCAGCUCGAUUGGAUGCGCACAGACGGUGAAUUGGUUCAUUUGUGUGUUUUUCUAGACUAAUGAUUCUUCACAUUAGUGGAGCUAGCACAUGACAAUGAGAGCAAAGGAAAAACAAAAAUAAAAUAAUGUUUUAUGAGGAAAAAUGAAUCAUGAGUAGAUUAAUGCUAAAUGAAAAAACCACAAAUUUGGAAAGGGAAAUAAUAUUAUGCAACUAUGUGUAACAUAACAUAACAUAAAACCUUCUAUAGUAAUAUACUAAAACAAAAAAAUAAAAAUGAAGUUUUAUUAGGAAAUAAUGAAUUAGUGGCAUUGGUAUUACCAAAAAAAGAAAUAAAUAAAAAUAAUACCGAAUUUGCACACAAUUUACCCAUAAACUGCAUCUUUUAUAAUAUGCAAGAAUAAGCAUAAGAUAAUGGAACUUUUCAAGAAACAAAUUUCUAAGAAGAAAUGAAUUGGUGGCAUUAGUAUUACCCUUACAAAGAAAGGAAAUGAAAUAAAAACUAAAACAAAUCAAAAGAAUUAAGUUAUUCAAAAAAGAAUGAAUUGGUGGCUUUGGUAUUACCCUUUCAUAAGAAAGAAAAAAAUGACAAAAUUUGCACACAAUUUACUCAUAAUUUACGCUUUUUAUAAUAUUGUGAAGAAUAAAUUUUGCACACAAUUUACAUGGAAAUGAUACCUUCUUUUAUGAUAUGCAAGAAUAAGCUUACAAUAGUGGAUUUUUUUGGCAAAAAACAAACUCGAAUAAGGAAUGAAUUAGCGGAAUUGGUUUUACCCUUAAAUAAAAAAUAAAAUAAAUUAAAAAAUAAAAUAAAAUCAAUGUAAAAAAAUUUCUAAGUGAGAGUGAAUUCAUGUCAUUGGUACUUUUUAAUAUGCGAGAAUAUUCGCAAAUAAGGAAUGAACUAGUGGAAUUGGUAUUACCCUUAAAGAAGAAAUAAAAUGAAAUAGAAACAUAUAAUUAGUACAAUUUACACACAUAUUGUGUAGUACUCACUCCUUCCCAAAAUAUAAGGCGUGCUUUGACUUUUCUGGUCUUUAUUCUACAACUUUGACUAUAAUUUUUAGUUAUUGUAUGUCCACUAAAUUAUUAUAAUUGUACAUUAAAUAAAAUUGUUUUACAGGACAAAUACAACGUUCCCAGUUAUACAUAUUCAAUCCAUGAAAAGUUGUCCAUCAAAGACCGUGAAAAGUUAAGCGCGCAUUACAUUUUGGGAAAGAGGGAGUACUUGUGUGUAUACUAUCACACACAAAAAUAGAAAAUUACGUUUUCCCCAAAAGAAUGAAUUAGUGGCAUUGGUAUUGUUCUUUAAGAAUAAAGAAAGAAAAUAUAGUGAAUUAUUACCACAUAAUUUGGAUAUAAAUUGUGUCUUUUAUGAUAUGCAGAACAAGCAUAUAAAAGUGCAAUUUUCGCAAAGUUUUUUUAGAAUGAAUGGAUUAGUGGCAUUGAUACUACCCUUAAAGUAGAAAGAAAUGAAAUAAAAACUAAACACAAUCAAAAACUGAAGUUUUUUAAGAAAAAAUGAACUAGUGUCAUUGGUGCUAUUCUUAAAAGGGAUCUUAAAAUUGACACCCCACCCCCAGCUUUGCACUUAAAUUGUUUUUUAAUAUGCAAAGAAUAAGAAUAUUAUAGUGCAUUUUCUCAAACUAGUAAAAUUUACACACACAUUGUAUAGUGUUUGUGCAUAUAAAUUUACACUCAUCCAACAUUCCAAAAAUACUAAUAAAGAAAAAGGAAAAACAGACCAAGGGUAAAUGGACGAGCUAGUAGAGAGAUAGGUCAUUCGUUGAGCUAAAAGAGAGGGAGAGAAGAAAAGGGUGAGUCACCUCAGUGGGCUAGAGAGAGGAGGGCACAUGAAUAAAGGGGUAAGAGCAUCUCCAGCCGCGCCCCCAACUGGCCCCCCAAGGCGAUUUUUUAGCGCCGGCGCCCAAAAAUCGGCCCGCUCGCGCCCCCAUGAGCCUGUUUUUCGCCGGUUUGGGCCAAAAUUGUUGGGGAACGUAGCAUGCAAUUUCAAAAAAAUAUCCUACGCUCACGCAAGAUCUAUCUAGAAGAUGCAUAGCAACGAGAGGGGGAGACUGUGUCCACGUACCCUCGUAGACCGAAAGCGUAAGCGUUAACUUAACGCGGUUGAUGUAGUCGAACGUCUUCUCGAUCCAACCGAUCAAGCACCGAACAUAUGGCACCUCCGAGUUCUGCACACGUUCAGCUCGAUGACGUCCCCGGAACUCUUGAUCCAGCAAAGUGUCGAGGGGAGAGUUUCGUCAGCACGACGGCGUGGUGACGGUGAUGGUGAAGUGAUUCGCGCAGGGCUUCGCCUAGGCACUACGUGAAUAUGACCGGAGGCGUAAACUGUGGAGGGGGGCACCGCACACGGCUUGGAAAAAUUGAUGUGUGUUAGAGGCGCCCCCACCCCCGUAUAUAAAGGAGGGAGAGGGGAGGAGGCCGGCCCUAGGCACGCCACAACUAGGAGGAGUCCUACUUGGGCUCCUAGUAGGAUCCCCCCUUCCUUCUAUCGGAGGGGGGAAGGGGGAAGCAGAGAGAGGGGGAGAAGGAAAGGGGGGUGCCGCCCCCUCCCCUAGUCCAAUUCGGACUCCUCCCUUGUGUGGGGUGCGCCACCCCUAUGUGGGCUGGUGUGCUGAUAAUCCCCAAGUGUAGGGAAUCAUCGUAGCAAUUUCCAAAGGUGGAAGUGAUAAGUAUGGAGUGUCGAACCCACAAGGAGCUAAAGGUAAGAUCAAUAUUCUCUCAAGUCCUAUCUGCCACUGAUACGACUCUACGUACACCGAACGUUUGCUUCCAACUUGAUACGAGAAAUAAAUCUACGUUGUGGGUAUGAAGAGGAUAACUUUGCAUGAUAUCGGAGAGCUAAAAUAUAAAAGUAGGUGCUGUUAUCAUAAAGUUAAAAUAUAUUACUAAAUAUUAUAAAUAGCGAGUGUGGAAUAAUGAUGGGUCAGUGUGCGGAAUUGUCCUAUGCAAUUGUUAACAAGAUCGGUAAUCACCAUUGCAAUUUCAUAUGAGGGAGAGGCAUAAGCUAACAUACUUUCUCGUCUUGGAUCAUAUGCACUUAUGAUUAGAACUCUAGCAAGCAUCCGCAACUACUAAAGAUCAUUAAGGUAAAACCCAACCAUGGCAUUAAAGCAUCAAGUCCCCUUUAUCACAUACGUCGUGACCCACUUAUCCGUGUUUAUGCUUCUGUCACUCAAGCAACACAGACAAUAAGUAAACCAUGGACAUAUUGCAACACCCUACAGCGGGAAUCCCUCACGCUUGCGCGACACGGAGGGCACCAUAGGACAGCACCAAAAUAAAACAUACAACUCAUACCAAUAUAGAUCAUCAGUCAACCCAAAGACAAAGGAUAUCUACUCAAAACAUCAUAGGAUGGCAACACAUCAUUGGAUCAUAAUAUGUGGCAUAAAGCACCAUGUUCAAGUAGGGAUUAGAGCGGGGUGCGGGAGAGUGGACCGCGUAAAAGAGAUGGGGAUGGUGAUGAUGAUGGUGUAUUUGAUGAAGACGAUCACCGCGGCGAUGAUUCCCCUCCCGAUGGCACUCUGGUGCCACCGAGAGAGAGGAGGAGAGGUCCUCCCCCUUGUGCUUCCUCCUCCAUGGCCUCCCCCUGGAUGGGGAGAGGUUCUCCCUCUGGUCCUUGGCCUUCAUGGCGAUGAUGGCACCUCCGGGAUCCUCCUCCAUGGCCUCCGAUGAUGAUGGCCCCCUCCGGCAGGGUGCCAGAGAGGGCCUAGAUUGAUUUCUCAUGGCUACAGAGGCUUGCGGCGGCGGAACUUCCGAUCUAGGUUAAUUUCUGGAGGUUUUUGUAUUUAUAGGAGAGGUUGGCGUCGAAAACAAGUCAGGGGGCCCCACAGGUAGUCCACGAGGCACAGGGGCGCGCUCCCACCCUCGUGGGGCCCCCGGGACUCCCCUCCGGUAGAUUUUUGUUCCAGUAUUUUUUAUGUUUUCCAGAAAAAUUCUCCGUUGAUUUUCAGCGCAUUCCGAGAACUUUUAUUUCUGCACAAAAACAACACCACGGUAGUUCUGCUGAAAACAACGUCAGUCCGGGUUAGUUCUAAUCAAAUCAUACCAAGAUCAUAUAAAACAAUAGUAAACAUGGCAUGAAUACUUCAUAAAUUAUCGAUACAUUGGAGACGUAUCAGCAUCCCCAAGCUUAAUUCCUGCUCGUCCUCAAGUAGGUAAAUGAUAAAAGAAAUAAUUUAUGAAGUGUGAAUGCUAGCAAGUGCACAAGUUUGAUCAAUGAUAAUUUCAAUCACCUUUUCUAGCAUUAUUAUAUGUCAUAACAGUAGCUCAUCUCAUAAAACUUUUCAUGAUCAAGUAACAAGCUAUUCACAUGUUAAAGUAUAGAUCAUAAACUUUCUUGAAACUAACAAACUAUAUUCUCAGUCAUCAAACAAUUGCAAUUCAUCUUAUUUUCAGGAUUGGUCUAUGUUAGAGCUUUGAUUCAGCAAACUCCACAUACUCAACUAUCAUUUAAUCUCACGUGAUAUUCAUGGAUUCAAAGUUUUAAUCGGACACAGAGAAAGAUAGGGGCUUAUAGAUUCGCCUCCCAACCUUUUACCUCAAGGGUAAAGUCAACAAUAAUAGUUGAUGAUAACUUACAUCUAAUUGGAUAUAUAUAUCCGGAUCGCUCCAACACAAAGUGCUUGCCAAACGAAAAAAUAUAAAAAAGGAAAGGUGAAGAUCACCAUGACUCUUGUUUAAGGUAUAAGACAAGAAUAAAGCAUAGGCCCUUCGCAGAGGGAAGUAGAGGUUGUCAUGUGCUUUUAAGGUUGGAUGCACAAAAUCUUAAUGCAAAAGAACGUCACUUUAUAUUGCCUCUUGUGAUAGAGACAUUUAUUAUGCAGUCCGUCGCUUUUAUUUCUUCCCUAUCACAAGUUCGUAUAAAGCUUAUUUUCUUCGCACUAAUAGAUCAUACAUAUUUAGAGAGCAAUUUUUAUUGCAUGCACCGAUGACAACUUACUUGAAGGAUCUUACUCAAUCCUUUGGUAGGUAUGGUGGACUCUCAUGGCAAAGCUGGUUUAAGGGAUGUUUGGAAGCACAGGUAGUAUUUCUACUUGGUUCAAAGAAUUUGGCUAGCAUGAGAGCGAAAGGCAAGCUCUACAUGUUGGAUGAUCCAAGACAAUAUAAUGUUUCAGAUAUAGGAAAACAUAACCCAUUAAGUUGUCUUCCUUGUCCAACAUCAACUUUUUAGCAUGUCAUAUUUUAAUGAGUGCUCACAAUUACAAAAUAUGUCCAAGAUAAUAUAUUUAUAUGUGAAAUCUCUCUUCCUUCAAUAUUCUUUCAUGAAUUGUUCAAGUGACCAAUUCUGCGUUUGCUAACUUUCAAUAAGUUUACUACCUAUACUUAUUAUAUGUGAAGUCAUUACUCCCCAUGUUAUAAGCAUAUGAAACGUAUAUAAAUUCAGAUUCAUGGUAUUCAAUUCAUUCAACCAUUUACUCAUAGGAUAUAUGUGAAGCACGUGAGUAAAUGAAAAACUACUCCAAAAAGAUAUAUAAGUGAAGAACACUGAGUAGUCAGAUAAUUAACUAGCCAUGGGAGGAUUCUUUUUCAUUCGAGAUUUUAGAUCCAAUGAUUUUAUUCAAACAACAAGUAAAAUUGAAAAUACGCUCCAAGCAAAACACAUAUCAUGUGACGAAUAAAAAUAUAGCUCCGAGUAAGGUAUACUGAUAGUUUUGAAGACAAAAGAGGGGAUGCCUUGCGGGGCAUCCCCAAGCUUAGGCGCUUGAGUCUUCCUUUAAUAUUACCUUGGGGUGCCUUGGGCAUCCCCAAGCUUAGGGACUUUCCACUCCUUAUUCUCCUCAUAUCGAUAUCUCACCCAAAGCUUGAAAACUUCAAUCACCCAAAACUUAACGGAACUUCGUGAUAUAGGUUAGUAUGAUAAAGAGUAAACCAUUCACCUUGGUACUGUCAAAGACAAGGUUUAUAAUUGUUCUCACACAAUUCCUACUGUACCAUAUCAUUUCUACAAUUUAUAUUGAGAAAUAUAAGCCAUAGAAACUAGAAAACAAGCAAACUAUGCAAUGAAAACAGAAUCUGUCAGAAAUAGAACAGUCUGUAAUGAUCUGAACAGCAACCAUACUUCUGCUGCUCCAAAAAUUAUGAAAUAAAUUGGUGGACGUGAGGAAUUUGUCUAUAGAUCUGCUGCAAAAAGAAUCAACUCAAAAGCGCUCUUCUGUGAAAAAUGACAGCUAAUCUCGUGAGUGCAAAGUUUCUGUUUUUUACAGCAAGAUCACAUUAACUUUCACCAAAGUCUUCCCAAAAGUCUUACUUGGCACUUUAUUGAAACAAAAGCUAUAAAACAUGAUUACUACAGUAGCUUAAUCAUGUGAACACACAAAAACAGUAAGGGUAAGUAUUGGGUUGUCUCCCAACAAGCGCUUUUCUUUAAUGCCUUUUAGCUAGGCAUGAUGAUUUCAAUGAUGCUCACAUAAAAGAUAAGAAUUGAAACAUAAGAGAGCAUCAUAAAGAAUAUGACUAGCAUAUUUAAAUAUAACCCACUUCCUAUGCCUAGGGAUUUUGUGAGCACAUAAUUUAUGGGAACAAGAAUCAACUAGCAUAGGAAGGCAAAACAAGUAUAACUUCAAAACUUUAAGCACAUAGAGAGGAAACUUGGUAUUAUUGCAACUCCUACAAGCAUAUAUUCCUCCCUCAUAAUAAUUUUUAGUAGCAUCAUGAAUGAAUUCAACAAUAUAACCAUCACAUAAAGCAUUCGUUUCAUGAUCUACAAGCAUAGAAAUUUUUCUACUCUCCACAUAAGCAAAAUUCUUCUCAUUCGGAAUAGUGGGAUCACUAAUUCCUAAAGUUGACAUUUUUCCAAACCCGCUUAAGAUGAUAGUAUUAUUCAUACUCCAAAAGAUAUAAGUGAAGUUCAUGGAUCAUUCUACAAUUAAUAUAGACUAACCAAUAUCCAAGCUCAAAAUAUGUAAGUGAAGCACACGAAGCAUUAUAUAAAACCAUACUCAAAAGAUUUAAGUUAAGUACAAAGAGCAAUUCCAGAAGAUCAUACUUAAAAGACAUAAGUGAAGCACAUGAAGUAUUCUAUAAAUAAAUGAAGGGCUAUCUCAUACUAGCAUGUUUCUUAAGGGAAAAACAAAAACACAAAGGACACAAAUCAUGUGAACAAAACAAAAACUGAGGUAUACCGAUAAUUGUUGAAGAAGAAAGAUGGGAUGCCAACCGGGGCAUCCCCAAGCUUAGAUGCUUGAGUAUCUUUGAAAUAUUUACUUGGGAUGCCUUGGGCAUCCCCAAGCUUGAACUCUUGCCUCUCUUUAUUCUUCUCAUAUUGAUAGCUCCUCGAUCUUCGAACACUUCAUCCACACAGAACUUUGACAAAAACUUUGUGAGAUCCGUUAGUGUAAUAAAGCAAACUACCACUUUAAGGUACUGCAAUGAAAUCAUUCUUUAUUUAUAUUGGUGUUAAACCUACUGUAUUUGAAAUUCUCUAUGGUUCAUACCCCCCGAUACUAGCCAUAGAUUCAUCAAAAUAAGCAAACAACACGCGAAAAACAGAAUCUGUCAAAAACAGGACAGUCUGUAGUAAUCUGGAAGUUUAGUAAACUUCCAUAACUCCAAAAAUUAUGAAAUAAAUUCGAAAAUUUGAAAAAAUUGUGCAGAAGUAAUGUGCAAAAAGUUUCAGACCCAUUUGACCUUCCAGUAAAAAAUGUAAAAUCACACGCUACAGACAAAGUUUCUGUUUUUGUUCUGCACAUAGUAAACAAGCAAUCUAAUCAUCCUAAAACCAAAGCUUGGCACAUUAUUUUUAUAAUACAAUGGAUAUACACAAGGGGGUAAUUAUUUUCAGAGAAACUUCCAUGAAAAAUUCUACAUUGUUUCUGUGAGCAUGAAUACAACUGCUCAAGGUCGACCCUCACUUCUUCAAUGCAUAACUUUCCAAUCACUUCUCUUUUUGAAAAACUUUUUAGGCAUGAUAGGCAAGCAAAAGUUUUUGUCUUUUCAUUCUUUGAAUUUUUUUGUAUGUUUCACCCACAACUAAACAUAAACAAAAAGGAAAAACAAAAUCUACUUAGUGGAGAAAGCAAACAAGCACACACGAGAAUAUCAACCACACGCUAUUGCUCCCCGGCAACGGCGCCAGAAAAGAGCUUGAUAAUCCCCAAGUGCAGGGAAUCAUCAUAGCAAUUUUCAAAGGUGGAAGUGAUAAGUAUGGAGUGUCGAACCCACAAGGAGGUAAAGGUAAGAUCAAUAUUCUCUCAAGUCCUAUCUGCCACUGAUACGACUCUACAUACACCGAACGUUUGCUUCCAACUAGAUACGAGAAAUAAAACUACGUUGUGGGUAUGAAGAGAAUAACUUUGCAUGAUAUCGGAGAGCUAAAAUAUGAACGUAGGUGUUGUUAUCAUAAAGUUAGAAUAUAUUACUAAAUAUUAUAAAUAGCGAGUGUGAAAUAAUGAUGGGUCGGUGUGCGGAAUUGUCCUAGGCAAUUGUUAACAAGAUCGGUAAUCACUAUUGCAAUUUCAUAUGAGGGAGAGGCAUAAGCUAACAUACUUUCUCGUCUUGGAUCAUAUGCACUUAUGAUUGGAACUCUAGCAAGCAUCCGCAACUACUAAAGAUCAUUAAGGUAAAACCCAACCAUAGAAUUAAAGCAUCAAGUCCCCUUUAUCCCAUACGCGGUGACCCAGUUAUCCGUGUUUAUGCUUCUGUCACUCAAGCAACGCAGACAAUAAGUAAACCAUGGACAUAUUGCAACACCCUACAGCGGGAAUCCCUCACGCUUGUGCGACACGGAGGGCACCAUAGGACAUCACCAAAAUAAAACAUACAACCCAUACCAAUCUAGAUCAUCAAUCAGCCCAAAUACAAAGGAUAUCUACUCAAAACAUCAUAGGAUGGCAACACAUCAUUGGAUCAUAAUAUGUGGCAUAAAGCACCAUGUUCAAGUAGGGAUUACAGCGGGGUGCGCGAGAGUGGACCGCAUAAAAGAGAUGGGGAUGGUGAUGAUGCUGGUGGUGUUGAUGAAGACGAUCACCGCGGCGAUGAUUCCCCUCCCGAUGGCACUCCGGCGCCACCGAGAGAGAGGAGGAGAGGUCCUCCCCCUUGUGCUUCCUCAUCCAUGGCCUCCCCCUGGAUGGGGAGAGGUUCUCCCUCCGGUCCUUGGCCUUCAUGGCGAUGAUGGCCCCUCCGGGAUCCUCCUCCAUGGCCUCCGGUGAUGAUGGCCCCCUCCGGCAGGGUGCCAGAGAGGGCCUAGAUUGAUUUCUCGUGGCUACAGAGGCUUGCGGCGGCGGAACUUCCGAUCUAGGUUAAUUUCUAGAGGUUUCUGUAUUUAUAGGAGAGGUUGGCGUCGAGAACAAGUCAGGGGGCCCCAUAGGUAGUCCACGAGGCACAGGGGCGCGUCCAGGGGGGUGGGUGUCGGUGUCAAAACCGGCGGAUCUCGGGUAGGGGGUCCCGAACUGUGCGUCUAAGGUUGAUGGUAACAGGAGACAGGGGACACAAUGUUUACCCAGGUUCGGGCCCUCUCUAUGGAGGUAAUACCCUACUUCCUGCUUGAUUGAUCUCUAUGAAUAUGAGUAUUGCAAGAGUUGAUCUACCACGAGAUCGUAGUGGCUAAAACCCUAGAAGUCUAGCCUGUAUGACUAUGAUUAUGAGUCCUCGGCCCUACGGGCCUAACCCUCCGGUUUAUAUAGACACCGGAGGGAACUAGGGUUACAUAAAGUCGGUUAUAGAGAAAUAAAUCUUCAUAUUUGGUCGCCAAGCUUGCCUUCCACGCCAAGGAGAGUCCCAUCCGGACACGGGAGAAAGUCUUCGGUCUUCAUAUCUUCACAGCUCAUCAGUCUGGCCCACGUCUAAUAGGUCGGACGCCCGAGGACCCCUUAGUCAAGGACUCCCUCAGUAGCCCCUGAACCAGGCUUCAAUGACGAGGUGUGCGGCGCACAGAUUGUCUUCCGCAUUGCAAGGUGGAUUCCCUUUCCCGAAUACUCCAAGAUAGUCUUCGGACGCAACGAACGUGUCUGGAUCUGCAACAUAAGUACCCCAACACAACCGCAGAGAGUAUAAUAUUUCACGAGUCCAAUCCGCUGACAACUUUUUGUAGUGUGACAUCACGUCUGCUCGGUCAUUAUUUCCAACCGUUUCUUGUCCUGCCGUUCCACGUUUCGAGGCGCGGUGUUUAUUGGCACGUCUUGUCGAGGCGGAGAUCGUGUCCCCUUAUCAUGGGAUUCUCAUCAAUACGAGCGUGGGUAACCCAACCGUCCAACGGCAUGAUUCCUUAGGAAUAGGCAGGUUUCCGGGUUUAGGAGGAGGCGUUUGAUAUCCAUCGCCUUUAUAAAGGAGCUAAGGGCCGUCUCUUUCUUUUAUCCCAAGCCCUUCCAACCUCGAGUUCCAGCACCCAAGGUUCGACUUCAUUGCUUCCAGCUUCCCAAUCAUGUCCGAACCCAGCCCACAGGGCCGAUGGGUGGCUUCCUCUAUUAUAGAGGAGGACAUUGCAAAGCUCCGGGUGGCCAGAUACCUGACCGCGGAGAUCCCUCAUAGGCUUCCUGCUCAAGGACAGGUUAUUCCGACUCCCAGAUCCGGCGAGAGGGUCGUAUUUAUCUCUCACUUCCUCCGAGGGCUAGGAUUCACCCUUCAUCCCUUCGUUCGGGGGCUUAUGUUUUAUUACGGACUAGAUUUUCAUGAUCUAGCCCCAGAUUCUUUCCUCCACGUCUCGGCGUUUACCAUCACGUGAAGCCAAAGGUAGUCGACGGGAAACAGACGGGGUGCGGCGGUGCCAUAGUGAGCAAGUUUACCAAUACUUUCUGGCCAAAAGGCUCUUUCACCGAAACUUCCAACCUAUGGCAGCGGGAGUGGUUUUACGUCACGGAACCCCGCGGUACCAAGUGGGCAGCUAUACCUGCGUUCCGACCUGGCCCUCCGUUACAGCUUGCAUCAUGGAUUAAUAAGGGGCUGGACUGGGGAUCAAUUGACGAAGUGUAGACUCUACAGAGCCGCAUCCAAAGCCUCCUAGAAAAGGACAUCGAUCUCGUCAACGUAAUUCAAGUAAUGCUAGUCCGCCGGGCCUUGCCGUGCCAACGACGGCCUCUCCGUAUGUGGGAGUUUAAUCCGGAAGGACCACAGACCCUCCAACACUUCUUCGGCACUACGCACAAAGGAAUGUGGAAGUUGUUUUUCGGGAAACGAAAACAGUGGCCGGACACCACCGAGGACAUCGGCCUCGACUGCAACCAUCCGGAUACCUCGGUAAGCGCUCGACACCCGAACAAAUUUUAAUCAGGUAUGCCGUAAUACGAUACUGAGCAAACUAUCUUCUUCCAGGGCUGGAUAAAGAAAGCGGAGCGAAUUAGGUGUUUGGCCCCCCUUCCCGAAGACUCAGCAAAUCCCGUGCUAACAAGGAUGCUGGCCCCGGCACCGUACAAGGUGCCCGUGGAGAAGGACAAGGCGGAGAGCGGGAAUACCAAAGGUGGCCUCCCUUCUGAAGGUAUGUUAGACACUGUGUCCGGGGAGAUCAAAGUUCCCUCGUCCGAAGACAAAAGUGAGGGAGAAGCCAACAUCCCUUCUCCCUGUGGUAAGAAAAGGGCCGCCUCCGAAGAUUGGGAGGAAAAGGCUCCUAAGCGAGGCAAGAUGCCCCUGUCGGGCGGCUCGGGCUUGGAGGACGACGUCGUCGCACAGUCCCACAGUGAGGACAAGCCCUUAGCCAAAUCGUAAGUGAACAAGGGUAUUCUAAACAUAUCCCGUUCUUUUCCUGUUACAAAGGUAACAUCUAGAAUAUAUGUUUUUGCAGCUUGGCACACAGUCUUCUUCCACAAUCCUCUUCCUCGGGGGAUCUUCUCCCAGAGAUGAUGGAAAGCGAAACGCCUCCACCGGCCUCCUCUCCCAAUAGGGCGACGACUUUGAGGUGUCGUCCCGGAGGGUCUCUCCUGAUCAACAAGUGGUGCGAGGGAUGAUGAAGACAUUACCCGAAGGUGACACUUCGGAUGCCCAAGGUUCGGGGGCCAACAAUAAAGGCCCCGGAUUAUCCGGUUUACAGCCGGAGGCGACUCAAGGGACGAAUAAACGGAUCCAUUCGAAGGAAGGCCGUACUCAUAUAGUGGUUCUCGGAGAUCAAGAAGCGCCGGAUACCUUGACGAACAUGCUGCAACAAGCGUCCGUCUCGGAGGAACAUCGUACCUUGAUGGGUACGGUGGUGGAAAGGAUUCUGUCCGCGAAAAGCGGAUUGAAUGAAGCCUUCACGAGCCUGCUAAGAGGCUUCGAGGUUUGUAAUGUAAUGUUUUGAUUGUGCUUUAUUCGCAAAAUUCACCUGUGUAUAGAUAGUUGCCCCUGAGACUCUGAUUGGCUUCCCAAGGGAGGCGAUCAGAGGAUCAAAAAGAUAUGCCCAGGAAAUAAUCUGACUAACUGGAACACAGGUAGUUACCUCCCUGGCUACUGCCCGAGCUAGAGAGGUUGCAGAUCUGCAACGGAAGAUUGACGAGGCGGAUGAUGACAUCACGCUUAUCAACAGGCGGCUUGACGACGCGCAAGGUAUGUUUUUGGGGCAGUCAUUAUAUGCACGUGCUUAGAAUAUAAGCAUGAUGCUAAGAAUUGUAUAUUGAGAUAUGUAUGACUGCAGAUGGUGCUGCCGCAGUUGAGAUCCUUCGGGCUGAGCUAGCCCGGGCCAAGGAGCAGGCCCGGAUUAGUAAUGCGGCUGCCGAAAAGGCAUAUGCCGAGUUAAAUGCCGAACAGGCUGCUCGGCACCAAUACGAGGAGAGAAUAUCCACGAUGGCGCGUGAGCUAAAGGAUGCCUAUAGCCGAUGCGAAUUCCUCAAGAAGGAUAAUAAAGCCAAAACGGUUGAUCUUGACAAGGCCUUACGAGAGGCGAAAGAAGCGCGGUCCAAAUCUAGAGCGGCCCGGGAGGAGAUCCGGCAAGCUGGGGAGACCGCGGCUGGUAAGCCCUUUUUAUUAUAAACUAAGUCCGGCGAUCCGAAUUAUGCCCCGCGUAAUCAAGUGUGGAGUUCUCCAGACGAGUUAUUGGAUUUGCCGAAGAGUGCUUCCGAUGCGGCGCAGUUUUACCAAGCGCAAGAAGGGUAUGUGACGGAGAAGCUUUUCUGGUCACAAUUCGGUGUGCCAAAGCGCCCACUGUUGCUGAAUGAACAGAUGACCCAAUGGGCCGAGCUCCACAGACUAUCCGGUUCUGCCAUGAAGGACGUCGUGGUCGGGCUGUGGCCGACCGAGCCCAUUUCGGAUAGUUAUUUUGGUUUGGUGCGGCGACUUGCUGGUGCGGUGUCGCGUAUCGACGCCGUUAAGCGGUCAGCGUGCAAUGAGGGUGCACAGAUGGCCUUUGCCCGUGUCAAGACAUACUGGGCGAAGAUGAAGGCCACCGAUGUUGCAGCAAAGAAUCCACCCAAGGGCAAGGACCAUCACACACCAGAGCAUUAUUUCAUGGAUGUCUUAGAGGGUGCCCGCUUGAUAGAGGGUCAAUGCUCGAAAAACAUGAUAUUCGAGUGAAAUGUAUGGAAAUUGUAAAAGACAAUAUUAUGAUAAGGCUAUUUUAUUUUUAGUUUCGCCUAAAACUUUUGUUCCUCCUGUGCGGCCAUUUUUGUAUAAUCUGAAAGUUUUCCAGUCGUCGGCUUCAGCCCCCUCGUGUAAAGCACGGGGGUGUUUGCAAAAGCAUUUGAGAACUCUUAACCCAACGUCUUGGUCCAUGAAGGAGGUGUCAAUGCGGCGAACUAGGCAAUCAGACUAUAGGGCGUUAACACUUUCACUUAGCCAUAGGAGUUUUAUGGUGGGUCUACGAUAUAGCCCCUGGUAUGUACACAACUUAUUCAAUACGGUGCGUUACAUAUAUGACCUGGAAAAGAGGUCCUUCGUAUAAUAUGAGGGGAAUCGCGAAAGAUUCCGAUAAGUCAUCGAGUGGUUGACCAGCUCUCGCUGCAUCAUGACAGUCAGUUUUCGGCUUUCUCUACUGAGGUGCUUGACCAGAUGAAUUGGAAGCACAAUCACAGUAGUUCUCCCUUUACUACCCUAGCCGAUAUAGCGGAACGUAAGGUAGCAAGCACAGGAGCCAGGCAACCCAACUAUUGAGCCAAGACAUGAUUCGGAGCUGAUGCAUAUAAGGCCAAACUCGCGACGCCGAAGUAUGCUAUAAAGCUGUUCGGACUUGUCGGCAAACUCAUUUGUUCCCAUGCCGAGCCCCUGGCAAGUUAUGCCGAGGUGUGUGUGAAACAACCAACGGAGUAAAAUUCCAUUCUUUGGGAAAAAGCGAAUACUGAAUAUGGAUUAUGUUCACUGGGAUCUGAGUGAUAUGCCAAUCGUUAUUUUACAGAUAUCAACACCACAACCCUGGCUAUUUGACAUGCCAGGCGUCGGAGGCUGAGGAAAAAGGCACUUUACAGGCUCGAAAUAGAGAGUGCGGUCUAUAAAAAGUUAUUUUGGACCUCCUGUCGCACGUCUGCGCCGCCUUUCCUUGGUAAAGGGGCUCCUUGACAGGAAUAGCCCUUGGGUGAGAGUAUGAACCUGAACUUCGAUAGAGUCCGUGAGAUGACCAGCCUUUGAGCCACCUAUGGGAAGGAUAAUAAAAAAAAGAGUAGUUAGAAAAAGGGGAGGGGGUUAUGGGUGUACUUGUAGGCCCGUCCGUAUUGUGCUUCUGCCGAUGCCCAGGGUAUUUUAAGUGCAUAGUUAUGUAUGCACGGUACAGUUUUCGCAGGUGUAUGAGGCGGACGGUGGAAGCCGAACUGCUAGUCCAGCUCCGAAAUUGGUCGGUCUUGCUGAAUGGAGACCGGCGGCUUAAUGGCCGACAAGUUAUGCGGUUUAAUAAGACCGCUUUGUACUUAGGCUGAAGUGACCGUAGUAUGAUCCUCAGUCCGGAGGGAGUGCUUCUCAUGCUCCCCUGUAGAGGUGUGUGUCAUGUAUACCAUGUUCACUGUUUUUACUUCGGGGGGAAAUUGCUUCUAACCCCCGGUAUUUGGUUGGUGAGUCUCUUCGCCGUUGCUAUCACCGGGCGGCCUCUUCCCCUUGUGUUCGGCGUUGAUCUUGCCGGCCUGUUUGAAGACCCAACAGCUUCUGUUGGUGUGAUUCGCUGGUCUAUCGGGGUUGCCAUGUAUCUGGCAGGGCCGAUCCAAUAUCUUGUCUAAAUUGGAUGGUCCGUCCCUGUUUUCCUUGAAUGGCUUUUUCCGUUGACCGGGUUUGGGGCCGCUAAAUCCGGCAUUGACCGUUGUGUCGUGCGUUCUUUCAUUAUCAUUGCGACGUUUGUGUUUACAGCGUCGUGGCUUGCCAUUGCCGUCUCGGACUUCGGAAGUGCCCGGAUCGCUGGCGCUGUUGCUUCUACGAGCGAGCCAGCUGUCUUCUCCCGCGCAAAAGCGGGUCAUCAGAGUGGUAAGCACUGACAUAGAUUUUGGUUUUUCUUGACCGAGGUGGCGGGCGAGCCACUCGUCCUGGACGUUGUGUUUGAAUGCCGCUAGGGUUUCCGCGUCCGGUCAUUCGACAAUUUGGUUCUUUUUAACUAAGAACCUAGUCCAGAGCUUCCUGGCUGACUCUCCAGGCUGCUGGACGAUGUGACUUAACUCAUUAGCAUCUGGUGGCUGGACAUAUGUACCUUGAAAGUUGUCGUGGAAGGCAUCUUCCAAAUCCUCCCAACUGCCAAUAGAGUUUCCAGGCAGACUGUUUAGCCAGUACCGAGCUGGCCCUUUGAGUUUUAGUGGGAGGUAUUUGAUGGUAUGAAGGUCAUCCCCGCGGGCCAUAUGGAUGUGGAGAAGGAAAUCCUCGAUCCAUACCGCGGGGUCAGUUGUUCCAUCAUAUGAUUCGAUAUUCACGAGUUAAAACCUUCUGGGAAUUCGUGCUCCAUUACUUCGUCUGUGAAGCAAAGAGGGUGUGUGGCGCCUCUAUAUUGGACCACAUUGCGACGUAGCUCCGAUGGAAUCCGUCUGCGGUAUUCGGCCUGGGUGUGACUAGGCUUGUCACGUCCGAAUAGAUAGCCGUCGUCACGUGUCGGGGCACGUCCUCGCGAUCCGUAGAUCGAUCUGGUAUGUCCUGCUCUACUGUCCAGGUCCUGCCGAAGGUCAUAUGUAUAACCACGAGCUGUUUUAUUUCUGCCUAUACGAGGAGGCGGAUCGGGCUGGUGUUUGGCCUGAGUUGCCGCUUUAUCCCGACCACGUGGUGGUCGGUUAGCCGCAUUGCGCGAUGAUGGUACGGGCUCCGGCACCUCGUUGUCGAACUGAGGUAGCAAUUUGCGCUUCGGGUAGCUUUUGGCUGGGCACUUGAGGCCGUAUUCUUCGGCUGCUAGGACAUUGGUCCAUCUAUCGUUGAGCAGGUCUUGGUCAGCUUGAAGCUGCUGCUGCUUCUUUUUCAGGCUCCUUGCAGUGGCUAUUAGCCGGCGCUUGAAGCGCUCCUGCUCGAGAGGUUCCUCGGGCACGAUGAAAUCCUCGUUGCCGAGGCUCACCUCAUCCUCGGAGAGCGGAAGGUAAUUAUUGUCCUCCGAGUCGUCGUGUCUGGCCUGUUCAUCAGGGCUAAAUUUCCCAUUUUCCCGUUCCUCCAUUUCGGAGGUUGCCCCAACAGGGUCUUCGUUGUCUUCGGCAUCGUCCGGAGUAUUGUUUUCUCCGAUGCUGGUAUUGCUAUCUUUUGCACGACGUGACUUAGAGCGGCGCCGCUGACGCCGGCGUCUGGGCUGUGUCUCAGGAGGUUUAUCCUCGACUCGAUCUUCUUUGUCAUCGUCGUUAGUUUCUUUAGGUGUAUCCACCAUAUAUAUUUCGUAUGAAGAAGUGGCCGUCCAGCGUCCGGUAAGCGGCGGGUUUUGGCCCUGCUCCUCAUCGGCAUCGUCGUCCAUACUGUCGAUGUCCUCGGAGCCAUAAUCAAGCAUGUCGGUUAAGUGAUCAACAGUGGCUAUGAAGUGGGUGGCGGGUGGGAAGCGAAAUUCUCCAUCGUCAGCCUCCAGUUCAAACCAGACAUAAUUCGGCUGAGAGUCCCCCGCUAAGGAUAGAACUUUUAAUGAGUUUAGCACGUCGCCCAAAGGCGAGUGCCGGGAGAUGUCUGCGGAGCUGAAUUCGAGGAUCGAUGACUGAUCAAGGUCGACGUAUGCGGACUCACAAGGUUCGGAACCCGUAGCCGGAGACGAGUCCGUGGUUCCGGUGACACAGAUGUCACUUGAAGUUAGGUCUGUGUGCGGCUCCAACGCCGCUGAGUCUGCGGCUUCCGUGGUGGGGUUGAGCCUCCCGUCCUCGGAUGGCGCGAUCUGCUCCGGAUCUAAGGCCAGAGCGAUUACAGGUUCAAUUUCCUGGGUAUGGUCCGAUGACAGAUUUAUGUCAUUUCAUCGUGGUGGCAGAGAGCGGCUGCCAUGGUCUCGAAUCCAUCGAAGAUCAAGUCUCCACGGAUAUCCGCGAGGUAGUUCAAGCUUCCAAAUCUGACCUGAUGGCUAGGGGCGUAGCUUUCGAUCUGCUCCAGAUGGCCAAGCGAGUUGGCCUGCAGUGCGAAGCCGCCGAAUACAAAGAUUUGCCCGGGGAGGAAGACCUCCCCUUGGACAGCGUUGUUGUAGAUGAUUGAAGGAGCCAUCGAACCUUUUGACGAUGGCACAGCGGAACUCUCAAUGAAAGCACCAAUGUCGGUGUCAAAACCGGCGGAUCUCGGGUAGGGGGUCUCGAACUGUGCGUCUAAGGUUGAUGGUAACAGGAGACAGGGGACACAAUGUUUACCCAGGUUCGGGCCCUCUCUAUGGAGGUAAUACACUACUUCCUGCUUAAUUGAUCUUGAUGAAUAUGAGUAUUACAAGAGUUGAUCUACCACGAGAUCGUAACGGCUAAAACCCUAGAAGUCUAGCAUGUAUGACUAUGAUUAUGAGUCUUCGGCCCUACGGGCCUAACCCUCCGGUUUAUAUAGACACCGGAGGGAUCUAGGGUUACAUAAAGUCGGUUAUAGAGAAAGGAAUCUUCAUAUUUGGUGCCAAGCUUGCCUUCCACGCCAUGGAGACUCCCAUCCGGACACGGGAGAAAGUCUUCGGUCUUCGUAUCUUCACAACUCAUCAGUCCGGCCCACGUCUAACAGGUCGGACGCCCGAGGACCCCUUAGUCCAGGACUCCCUCAGUGGGCGCGCCCCCACCCUUGUGGGGCCCCCGGGACUCCCCUCCGGUAGAUUUUUGUUCCAGUAUUUUUUAUAUUUUCCAGAAAAAUUCUCCGUUGAUUUUCAGCGCAUUCCGAGAACUUUUAUUUCUCCACAAAGACAACACCACGGUAGUUCUGCUGAAAACAACGUCAGUCCGGGUUAGUUCUAAUCAAAUCAUACCAAGAUCAUAUAAAACAAUUGUAAACAUGGCAUGAAUACUUCAUAAAUUAUCGAUACGUUGGAGACGGAUCAUGUGUCUCCCUCCUAUGGCCCAUAUGGCCCAUAUCUUCCCCUCGGGGGUUCCGGUAACCCCCCGGUACUCCGAUAUAUACCCAAUACAUUCCGAAACACUUCCGGUGUCCGAAUACUAUCAUCCAAUAUAUCAAUCUUUACCUCUCGACCAUUUCGAGACUCCUCGUCAUGUCCGUGAUCUCAUCCGAGACUCCGAACAACAUUCGGUCACCAAAUCACAUAACUCAUAUAAUACAAUCGUCAUCGAACGUUAAGCGUGCGGACCAUACGGGUUUGAGAACUAUGUAGACAUGACCGAGACACCUCUCCGGUCAAUAACCAACAGUGGAACCUGGACGCUCAUAUUGGUUCCUACAUAUUCUACGAAGAUCUUUUUCGGUCAAACCGUAAUGACAACAUACGUCAUUCACUUUGUCAUCGGUAUGUUACUUUCCUGAGAUUCGAUUGUCAGUAUCUUCAUACCUAGUUCAAUCUCGUUACCGGCAAGUCUCUUUACUCGUUCCGUAAUGCAUCAUCCGGCAACUAAUUCAUUAGUCACAUUGCUUGCAAGGCUUAUCAUGAUCUGCAUUACCGAGAGGGCCCAGAGAUACCUCUUCGAUACUCGGAGUGACAAAUCCUAAUCUCGAUCUAUGCCAACCCAACAAACACCUUCGGAGAUACCUGUAGAGCAUCUUUAUAAUCACCCAGUUACGUUGUGACAUUUGAUAGCACACAAGGUAUUCCUCCGGCAUUCGGGAGUUGCAUAAUCUCAUAGUCAAAGGAAUAUGUAUAAGUCAUGAAGAAAGCAAUAGUAAUAAAACUUAACGAUCAUUAUGCUAAGCUAACGGAUGGGUCUUGUCCAUCACAUCAUUAUCCUAAUGAUGUGAUCCCAUUCAUCAAAUAACAAGUCAUGUCUAUGGUUAGGAAACUUAGCUAUCUUUGAUUAACGAGCUAGUCUAGUAGAGGCUUACUAGGGACAUUGUGUUUUGUCUAUGUAUUCACACAUGUAUCAAGUUUCCGGUUAAUACAAUUUUAGCAUGAAUAAUAAACAUUUAUUAUGAUAUAAGGAAAUAUAAAUAACAACUUUAUUAUUGCCUCUAGGGCAUAUUUCCUUCAGAAACUGGGGCCGGCGGACCCAGGCCAAACCCGACGCGCUGGGGGGCGCCGGGUCAAGCGAUUUUGGUGCGAACAAACUGUGGGCCCGCCGAGUCAGCGACCCCCGCCUCGUCGUCCUCACAAUGCCUCGGUUUCCUGCAGGGAAUCAAUGCCAAGGCUGCUGCCGGUCAGCCUUCCAUUGAAGACGGAGCCAGGGCUCGACGACGCGGCGGCCUUGAAGUGGGCAUGCGAAGACUGGGCGCGGACGGAGCUGGAGCGCCAGUGCCUCGCCCUAGAGCAGUUCGCCGCUCGGCGCCGUGGCCGCGACGAGGAAGGCGUCGUCGUCCUCGACGACGACAGCGGCGACGACGCGCCGCCACCGGUCCGCCAGGGCGACCCCAUGAAGGGGUCCAGAAGGGGCGACCACAUGAAGGAGGAGAAGGACGACGAGGACAACGGCGGCGACUUCGCCUCUCUCGGCACGUUAUUCGGCAUGUAGUCGCGGCCUCUUGUGUUUUUUAAGUAGUUUAUCUAUGUAAAAAACUAUUUCAGUUCGCCGAAGUAUGCUGUUUCGCCGAAUAUUUGUCCCGUUCGCCGAAUUUUAGUCGAAUUAAUGUUCAAAACAGUUUAAAACAGGCGCCUGGGGGCCGACCUUGGGGGCGUCGGCUGGGAACCCGAUCACCCCCCAGGCCGAUUUUAGCCCCGGUUCGCCCCCAUGCGGCGAUUUUUCGAGCCACCUGGGGGGCCGACGGCUGGAGAUGCUCUAAUGAGCUUCCACACGUCAAGGAAUCGACUGACCCAAAAACAAAGUCAUCAGUGGAAAAUAUUCAGCCCAAAAAAAGAUAGCACCAAAAUAGGGAGAAAAAAAGGAGCAUGAAUCUUGAAGCAGCACAAACACAAAAAUGAACUGACCCAAAUUAAAAAACCAGGCACUUAUAUAUAUAGUUAAAGUGAUUCAAGUUUGUACACUUGAGAUUUUCUCAUGAAAGAGGCACUUGCCAAUAAAUGCGAAAGGAGUGGAAGCGCAUGAGGGCUGUAACCACCACAGUAGUACUACGCAGCUGCCUCCUCCACUAAUAAAAGACUAGGGCUUCUCUCUCUCCUGUCGGCGCCGCCGCCGAUCCGCCUCGUCUUCGGUGACCUUAGAGCUAUGACGGCGUGGUGGAUCCCGGCCCUUGCCGGCGGGAGGCCUCCGUUUUUUGACGCUCCUUCGAGUUUUGUUAAGGUUUGUGUUAUGCUCAUGAAGACGAGACAGUGGCUGCUCUCAGAAGAUGGAAUAAGGUUCUCUCGGCCUAGCCCCGUUUCGGUAGUGCGUCUAGUAUUGGUGGUGGGCGUGUGGAGGUGUGUCUCCGGCGGAGCUGUCCUUGGUGGAUUGCUGGGAUCUGAUCUUAGUUCAUCUACAUUCGUGUUGUUCUGGUGCACUGGUCCUAUAUCUACUAUAAGAUGUUUUGCCCGGCUCCGGCGGGGAAGGGGCGAGACAACGGCUCGCUUUCGGCUCGCUUCAAUGCUUGUAGUCGUAGCUAGGUAGUGUACGGAUCUAGAUGUAACUUUUAUUGGUGUUCGUUGUACUGCCAUGAUCAAAAAUGAAUAGGUAACAAAAAUCACACAAAAGAAAAAAAAAAGAAACCACCACGUGUUGGUACCUAAAAAAUAAUCCAGACUAAAAAGCAUUCACGGAUUGUCAAGCCCGGACACAGAAUGACAGAACCAGCACGUCCUCCACGUACCGGAGGAAGAAGAAAAGGCUGAUCAUCCAUCCCCUGCUCAAGUGCUUGAGUGCCAUGCCAUUUACCUGCACAACACAGGGCCAUCUCAAACGCCAUGGCUGCAAAUUAGGAGCCGUUGCAUCCAGAAAUCUGCUGCACGUCCCGGUCGAUUUUUAAUGUGCCACUGUAUGUACGCGAGCCUGUCUGGCCGUGGCAUCGCCGUGCCAACCCUCUCAUUGUCCAUCAUAAGCUACGUACAGGGCCGUCCUGCCCGCCCUGUCUCCUCUCCUCUCCUCUCCUCUGGCGCCAACUCACACGCACUACACUCACCGGGCUGGCAAAGUUCGGAGUACCAUCCACCAGCCACGCCACGCUCAUCUCCUGACCACUAUAUAAACACCUCAUGCCCUCAUCGUUCUACUCACACAAACACAAGCUUGCAUCCAACCUUCUCCUCCUCAUCGACCUUCUUCUAGUAGUUGUUCCUAGCUAGCUGGUUGAGUGAGCGUAGUUUUGGGAGCAGCAAACGCAUGGCUCGCAUGGCAGUGUUGGGACUGGCGAUCCUGCUCGCCGCCUCGUGUGCCCUGGCGGCGGCGAGCUUCGACAAGGAGUUCGACAUCACCUGGGGUGACGGGCGCGGCAAGAUCCUCAACAACGGCCAGCUCCUGACGCUGGGGCUGGACAAGGUCUCCGGCUCCGGCUUCCAGUCCAAGC